UUUUUUUUUUUUUUUGGUACUAAAGUUGUCUUUUGGUUUUUACCCGUAUCAGAUGGCACCUAAUUGAAGAACUCAAUGUUUUUAUGGGCUUCUACUCAAUUCUCAUGGAACUGAUCUUAUAGCUUGUGAUAAGCACUACAAGGCAUUUGCUUUCACAAUUGCUAUUAAAAAGUGAUAUUAGGAGAGAGAAAAUAAUAUGAUUUCACCAUUGCUUCUCAUCUACUAAAUUAUUUAAUUAAUCUAAUACUAGCUUAAACAUUAAAGAAAACACUAGAAUUUGUUAUUUAUUAUCAAGGUUUAAAUGGCAUAUGGCUUCAAAAAUAACAUAUCAUUCUAUAUAUUUCACUUAAUGUAAGAUUUAAAUUACUUUUUUCAGUUACGAACCUAUUGUUAAACAUGAUCAAUAACAAAUAAUCAAAAAAAUUUGUAACCAAAAUAUUACAAGGAGCGAACUUUAAUACCAUAAAAAUCUCAAUAACUAACCUCAAUAUGUUGACAAGAAUAUUUAUAAUGUUAAAGCUUGUUUUCUGUAUUAUUUUAGUUGCAAAUUUUUGAUUAUUUGCUGUUGAUCAUGUUUGACAAUGGUAUGUAAUUGAAAAAAGUAAUUUGGAUCUUAUAUUAAGUGAAAAUGAUAAAAUGAUAUAUUAUUUUUUAUGCUAUAUAUGAUUUAAUUCCUAAUGAUAAAUAGAAAAUUUUGGUGUUUUCUUUAAUGUGUGAGUUGGUAUUCAAUUAAUUAAAUAAUAUUUUAGAUGAGGGGCAAUGAUGGAAUCAUGUUAUCUUCUCUCUUCUAAUAUCACUUUUUAAUUAUAGGUUGGACUUAACUAUUACAAGAUAAUUUAUCUCAAGGGAGGUUAGUAUAAUUUUUGAAACCCAGAGGGAAGCCACUGAAAUAGUCAGAAACCUUAGGGGAGGUUUAUGAAAUUAUUCCUUGUUUUAAUUUGUUGUUGUUUUCUAUCACUUGUUUUAGCACUAAUUUUUUGGCGCUCCAAGGGGAAGGGUGUUGCCAUAGAAGAAAGCCAUGAACAAGAGCAAUCUAAAAAGAUGGAUUCUUUUGUUGGUCUUAUGUGCCUUUGCCCACCCCUACCCUCUUCCUCUUGCUUCGUGGAUUUGUAUGCCCUCUUGUUAUAUUUCUGUGGACAGAAAAAGAAAGAAUAGAAUUACAAUUGACACAAUGGAUUAAGCAUAUACUUCAUGAUUCAAAUCAUUUAUCUCACACUUUGUAAUUGUAUUCUUUUCUUUUUUUUUUCCCGUUUCCUUUCCGUUGGGUAUUCUUUCUAUUUUUCAACAUUUUGUUUUUGGUUCUGCUUCCUGGUUUUCUCAUUUGAGUUGUAGUAGGAGAAGUCAACACUAGGAUCUAUUUUUCUAAUUGACACAAUGUCUUGUUGUAUUUUACGACUUUUCCUGAGGUACCUUGUUUCUAGUAUUUUGGCAGAUUUGACAGACUGAUGCUCAUGUUAGUUUCUCUUUAUGCUAUCUGUAGGAAGACGUUAAGGACUGGACAAUUGAUGUGCUCACAGACGGUUUCACUCGCGCUGAAGAAUGUGUUAGACGGCGAUCUAAUUAGCUUCAGAGAAGAAAGUAAACAGAGCAAAGAAUGAAAAACCUUCUAAUUUGCUACAAUUGAUAGUGGCUGUUCCUUGUCAAACGAGUUUGCAAGCUUUUGAGGUUUUUGUUUGUCACGGGUGGAGGUCUUCUGAGCUCUCUUUCCCAAGAAGGAGCUUGCACAAGAAAAAUCACAAGCGUCUCAUCGGUUAUAUCAACAACUUGAAGCUCAUUCUGGUUAUCUCACGACAUAGAUUCCAUAUCUGUGAUUAUCAGUUUAACGAUGGUAGCUCAACUUCGAAGAGCUUUAUUUGCCAGUGGACUUUAAGCUACUAGCAUCAAACUGACUAGGAAAAUUGACAAAUGGUCUAAUGCCUACUUUGUUCGUUGUGCUCCAAAACUUGCCAGUAACAGUGCCAUUCUAGUCUAAAUAGGUUGUUGCCAUGCGGAUAUGGUAACCGUUGUCAAUCAGCUGUCUGUACUGGCUAAUUUAUGUAUGCUGAAAGACAAAAGUUAUAGUAUGCAAGCAAAAGUAAAAAUAUUCAAUCUUGCACAUUUUACACUGGGUUUAAUAUAAAAAAGUGUGCAUCUCAAUUUCUCUUCAGCAGCAAAAUUCUGGAAGUUUUGAUAUGGUUAAAGGUGAAAGGGGCAAUUGUUUUGGCAGCAUAGCAAACUUCAGUUAAAUUAGACACUUUCGGCCAAAGACGUUGUUUAAUUUGUUUCUGAUGCAACUGGAUUGACUAAUAGAGGAAAUAAUUGUUUUAGUUAUCCUGCCUAGCCAAUAAUUCAACUUCAGGGGUCAUUGUAUCUCGGCUGGUAAGUAAGCGGUAAAUGUCAAUGAACAUCUACGGAGGGAAAAUGGGCUACUCUGACAUGGAGGAUAUGGUUCUCAUCCAAGGCCAGCGUGGGGCUUCUGUGCAUUUGUAUGGGUAACUGUCUGUUAUAUGAAUUAAUGCCCUUGCCAUUCAUAUUUACUGAAUGCCAUUAAUAAUAGCAAAGCAGAAAGCCAAAAUUUCAUCAUUUUUUGAAAUUAAAGGAAUAAAAUUAUUAGCCCCUCAAAACUGUGGGGACAAAUAUUCGAGGUAAUUGUCCUUAUUUUUUUUUUAAACUUAAGCAACAAUUUAGGACAUUCAGUCGCGGGCUUCUCCUUGUUUCACAGGCCACAAUGCAAUGCAACUGUCUUUCAAGAAGGGGGUGUGCUUGAUGCUACUAAUAUGCUUGGCCCUUUAAUUUUUUUGUAAACAAAUUCAGAGUGCUGCUAGUGAACUAAUUAUGCAUUUUAUUUGUUAAUAUUUCCCCUUUUAUUUUGUUAGAAUAUGGUGUUAAUUGCUAGAUUCUACUCAUAUAUAUUUUUUGAUGUUGUUAUUAGGAAGUUGUGGUGAAAAGAGAAUAAAAAGUGAGUUAAAAGUGGAAUUUUCAAAAGACUUUACAAAAUGCAGUCACGUCUUAACUUGUUAUGAAGUUCCAACAUUUUGCCAUUUGAAGUGGAUCCCAUUGCACGAAGAAAUCAUUGUUACACCAUCUCAUGUCGUUGCAACUUGAUUGGUCAUGAGUUACCAUUAUUUUAUUAGGAACUGAGGAGUCAUGACUCAUGACUUUAGUUUAUUGGGAGGUAGUUUUAGUAAGUGGACUUCGAUUAGAAAAUUUUUUCCUUUUUCAAGAAGUAAUAAGGAAUAGGAAGGGGAAGUCUGACGUAUUUUUUUCUUGUCUAGCAAUUGAACAAGCUCUCUCCUUAUUCCUUUUAUUCUUUUUCUCUUCAAAAAUAAACCCUAGUUUUUCUUUGGCUAUGAUUCCAUCGUGAGGAGUGGCUGAACUCACUUUCUAGUUAGAGGAUAAUCAAAGUUUUGGUUCAUCGAAUACUGUGAAAUCUAAUUUGAUUUAUUUAUUUCAUUUAUUUAUAAGUCUUUAUAUGGAAAAAUAAUUCAAAACGUCCAUCACAUUUUAUAAAAUGAUUUUUUCAUCUCUCAUUUUUAAAAGUAUAAUUUUAUAUCUCUAACAAAAUCACAUUGGUCAAAUUUGAUGCUUAUCUAUAUUUUUUACUAGUUUUUCCUCACAAUCCACCACGUACCUUGCACUUGAUCAUUUUUUAUGGGUAAAAUUGUCAAAUCACAUUUCACAUAAUCUGAUUUAUAGUCCAUCAUAUUUCACAAGAUGAAUUUUUUUGUCACAAACAUUUUACAAAAUGAAAAUUUUCAUCCCUCAUUGAUUAUGUGUAAAAAUAGUUUUUCUUAUUUUUGAAAAUCUAUGCAUAUGUCUAUUUGAUUUAACUCGAACAGCAUAAAUAACAUACAAUAUAUCUUUAUUUGAUUUCACCCGAACUAACUAAUUGUAAUUGUAGGUGAAUUCAAAGACAAAUAUAUUACAUGCUACUUGUAUUAUUCAGGUGAAAUUAAAUAUAUAUAUAUAUAUGGAUUUAAAAAAAAAAGUUAUUCGUGCACAUGAUUAAUGAAGGAUGAAAAAAUUUAUUUUAUGAAAUGUGAGAAACAAAAAAAAUUCAUUUUAUAAAAUAUGAUAGGCGAAAAAAUUUAUUUUGUGAAAUAUGAGAAAUUAUAGAUUCGGAUUAUGUAAAAUUUGAUUUAACAAUUUUGCCUCUCAAAUAUAAUCACGUGCAAGGCACAUGCAGGAUUCCCAUAAAAAACUAGUCAAAACCUAGAUAGGGGCCAAAUUGGACCAAUAUAAAUUUGUAAGGGACAUAAAAUUAUACUUUUAAAAGUGAGACGAAAAAAGUCAUUUACAAAAUGUGAGGGACAUUUUGAAUGAUUUUUCAUACAUAUAUAUAUAUAUAUUUCCUGUUCAUUCAUGAUUAUGAUUAUUUUAUACGAUUAUAUAACUUGCCACUAUUUAAUUGUUAGAAUAAUCUAUUGUCAUCCAAAAUAUUAAAUCUAUAAUUGUUUGGUAGCUUUAGCUUUUGUGACGAGUGAUAUAAUUUGGUUGUAAUAGAAACUUUUGAAUAUAUGUUACUAAAAUAUAUAAUCUAAUCUAAAUAAACCAAGUUUAUGCAUUUGUCAGUUAGAAUUUGUAGUUUCUCUAAUUAUUAUUGCUAUCAAUAGAUUAAAUCCUAAGAUCUUAUUUAGGGUUGUCUAACCGGCAAGAUAAAUAAUCACAGAGUUUGUUAUGAUUAUCGAAGUAGUAAGGAGAGGUAAGUUGUCAAAAGUUGUUGACAACCAUAACCAAUUUAAUUAUAAAUAAAUGAUUUUAUCUUUGCAUCAAUGAUUAGUUAAAUAAACCAAAGUUGAGAUUAGACCUUUGAAUAGAGAGUUGUCUAUUGUUGAUUUACAUUUAUUUAAUUUUUGAAUUAUUGUUUUAUUUAACUAAAUUACCUAGGUUAAUUUCUAACAAUCCCCAAUUUUAUGUAUUGUCAUUUUAUAAGAAAAUAAAUUACCCAGUCCCUAUGGAUAUAACCAUACUCAUCGCUAUAUUUGAAUUAUAUUUUUAGAGUAGGAAUUUAUUUUUGCUGGUUUGACACCAAACAAAUUUUGGUGCCGUUGCUGGAGACUGGUGCCUUAUUGAUUUAAUUUUAAUUUUAAUUUUCCUCUCAUUAUGUUAUUAGUUUAUGGCUGACAAUAAUCAAUAAUUUAAUGAUAGACAUGAUUUCAUUCACAGGAGGGUUAAUAAGAUAUGUGUAUCUUUUAUUGAUCAACGUUUACAUUUUCUAACAUCUCUUGUAGAAAAGUUGGUUGUAGGGCAAGUGUAGCAAAUUAAAACAUGUGGAAUUUAUUAUGCCUUGAGUCACCCAACUGACAUGUGCUCCACACUCCAAGAUGAUUUGAAUGCUCAUGUGAAUGUUGUUGGAGGUUUUUCAAGCCCUUCCAAAAGGGGUAUAAUCCUUAUUCGAACACAUAUACUAAAGGAUGGAGAGAUAACCUCAACUCUUGUUAUGCAGCAAGGCCACCAAUUCCACAGCAACAAUUAACUUUUAUGCCAAGUGUGCCUCUUGAAGAAAUUGUUAAAUCAUUAGCAACUAACACACAAUAAUUUCAAUAAGAGACAAGAAUGAGUUGAAAUCUAGAGACUCAAAUAAGUUAGCUGGCGUCUGCGGUGAGUCUAUUGAAGUCUCAAGUUUUGGAAAAAUUAUCCUCACAGACCAUUGUCAAUCCCGAGCAAAAUGUGAGUGCAAUUACCUUGAGAAGUGGAAAAGAGUUGCAAGAGCAAAGAAAGGAAGUAUCCAAGUAUGAGAUUGAAGAGAAAGAAAUUGAGAAAGAAGCAAUGUAGCCCCAAACUCAAAUCCCUCCAAUGAAAGAGUCUAGUGAAGAAUCCCCAACUAUGGUGAUUCCUUCGCCAUUCCCAAACCGAUUUGCAUGAUCCAAGAAAGAGGAGGAGGAGCGAGAAAUUCUGGAAAUGUUUCACAAUGUUGAGAAGCUGAAUGGCAAUGAUAAAGUCUAUAAGGGGAAAAUGCGUCAACUAUACUACAACAGAAAUUACCUCCUAAGUGUGGGGAUCUAGAAGGUUUUGAGCUUGAUGGACCAGAUAAGUUAGGAGCUGUAGUGACCAAGCAUCUUGAAUUGAGAAACAAAGUAACUCAUUUGCUUAAGGAUUACUAGCAUAAGGGGGAAAUAAUGAAAAGAGUUAAAAGAUUUUAUUCUCCUUGAACAAACAUGACAUCAUCUAGCCAAAGAUGUUAAAGAAAAGCGUUACUUGGGAGACAACCCAAGAAUUUCAAUUUUACUCAUUUUGUAUUUUUUUUAUUGUUUUUGUGUUAAAGUUAAGCUUAUAUUGUUUCUUUUUGAUAGAAGACUUUUUGUUGUAGGCCAUGGAUGCGUUCCAUGAUGCUUUCAUUUGUUUUAGAAGCAAUUUCUUAGGCAUAAGACCUUUUGUUACAGCAAGUGCCCACAUCUUAUAUCCAAUUUCAGAUUUGAGAUAAAUCAUGCCUACGCUAUGUGCUAAAUGCAAAUUGGUGAUUUGGAGGUUUGGAUGGAUAGAAGACCCUUCCUUACAUAGCCCUCCAAUACCGUGAUCCUAAAUUGAACCUCACUGCAUGCUUUUAUCCGGAUUGGUUUUUAAGCCACCUAUUUCUCCCUAAAUGCUUAGCUCAAAGGAGUCCUCUUCUUCUUCUUUUUGUAGUAAGUUUCAUCCAUUGAGGAUAAUGUAUGAUUUUGCUAUGAAGGAGGGGAUAUUUCAGGUGUACAAAUUUUUCAUGAAAAAUUUAAAAUUUUUAAUUUGGUUAUGGAUUUUCUUGUGUUAUGAAAAUACAGUUAGGAUGUAAAUAUGAGUAAUGCAACGUUAUUAGCAUGAGUGUGUUAUUUUCUUACAAUCAACUUGAAUGAUGGAGGUACAAGAUUUGACAUAUUUUUAACUAAUUUGUGAGCUUUUGAGCCUAUGGAGCAUGUUGAUUAUAUUUGCUCAAUUUUUUUUGUUGACAUGUUAUCACAUGUGGUUUGAUAUUCUAGAACUUGCUUUUGUGGUUUGAUAUUUUAGAACUCGCUUUGUUAUGCAUGUUGAGACUACACUUGAAUUUGAUGCAUUAAAAUGAUAAGGGCAAUUAGGUUUAACCCCUUUUUGACUUUCUAAAGACCAGCCCUAAUUAUAUUUUUCCCUCGUUAACCAUGUUUGAGCCUUGACUUGUUCUCUGUUUAAUAAACAUAAUUAUUACCUUAAUCUUUUUGUUUGCAUCUUCUUAUUUGAACCCUGGGUCAAAGGAAUACUAUAAUAUUCUUACUUGAUGAUUUCAAGAGUUGUUUCGAGACUUGAUUGAAGUUGGCAAGUGUAUUUAUAUUUCAAUGUUAGCAAUAUCUUGUGGAAACCAAAAAAAGGAAAAAGGAAAAAAAUUUAAAAAAAUAAAAGAGUGAAAAAGCUGUGAGGACUUGCAAAUUCCUUAUAUUUUUCUUAAAAAUACCCUUUUAUUUGGAAAUUAUUAUUUUAUAAUAGCCCUACUACUCAAUCACCCCACAAUAAGUGCAAAUGAACCUAGAAAGUAGGGUUUCACUUUUCGUGUUUUAAGUCAGAAUGAAUUAGGAUUUUACGUCUUUUCGCAGUAUGAGUAACCGGUAUGGAAUGUGUACUAAAUUUGGUGAUUAAGGGUAAGUUUUAGAUGAUAUUAAGUGUGUGAAUAGAAGUAAUAACCAUAAGAUAGUGAAUUAUAAGUGAAAAUCCUAGUGCGUGCGAAAUACGAAAAAACGGGUUGAACCGACGGGUACCGUUUGUUACCGAUGGAAUACAUCACUUGACCAUCACUUUAUUACCUUAAUCCCUUUAUGUUUACUUGACUAAUCAGCCCUAAAUUACCACUUAAUCCAGCCAUCUUUGUUGACUAAAGAAAAGGAAGAAAGAAAAAAAAAGUGAGAUGUAAUAUUGUGAUGACACUUGGCAAGCAUCUACCCAUUUUUGACCAACUCAAGUCUAAGCUUCUUAUCCCUUUCUUGGAGCUCAAUUUCUGUUUUCUAAGCUUCAUUGUGCACGAAAUUUAGAGAGGAAAAAGAGAGAAAGAAACCACUUCAUUCAAGCUUGCUUUCUUGCUCAAUCUUACAAACUAACCGAUAGAUUCACCAAAUAAUCCAUAGAAGUUGCUUAGGAGGGUGGAUUAUCAUCUUGGAGUGGAGAGUUUUGGUGGUUGAAGCUUCCUAGGGGCUGUUGUGCUUCUCCAAUUCUAGGUAAGGAUGGUAUUAUUUCAUGGUUGUGCUACUUAUUGGUUUACAAGUGAAAGUUAUGGCUUGUUAGGUAACUUUCAGGGUUUUAGUAUUAGUUUUGGUAAAUUCCAACUCUAUAGUGUAAAAAAUUCAGCUUUAGUUGUUGGAAUGAUGGUUGUUUGGAUGGUAUAUGGUGUAUGUAGGCUUGUAUAGGAGGUAGUAGUAGUGGUUUUAAGCUAGAAAUGUGAAGUUACACAUUAAAUUCUUGACAUUCCAGAAUUGAGAUUUCUUAUGGUUCAGUUCUGUCCGUUUCUGUUUGAGUAUGUUAGAAACUGAAUCAGCCUUAGCACAAAAUAUGAAAGUUGUAGGUAAUGAUGUUUUAUAAUUGUCUACAAAAUUUUAGCUCAAUCGGAGCACUGUAACUCAUGAAAAGACAAAAAUUACCCCUGAGACUGCCCUAGGUAGAGUCCAGCAGACAGUUUUGACAUUUCCUCAUGUUGGCUGCAUUUUUCACCUUGAUCCAUACCAAACCAGUCUUUAGCCAAAACAUGAAACUUUUAGCCCUAUGUUUUAUAUUUCCAACGCCACUGAGAACACCUCAAUCGGAUUUCGGUAGCCUGAGUUAUUGUUGUUUACGUAUAGUGCGGUUAACUAGCCUGAGUGUGAGAUUCUGGUUCUGUAAUUUGACAUUUUGACCUAGCUACACUACGAACUGGACUGAGUGGUCUUCAUCAAAGUUGUAGGUCUUUGUCUUAGCUUCGAAACGGUAUACAUUGUAUUCCAAUCCAAUAAGCGUAGCCUCAUUUAUGCCCAUUACGCAAAACAACAUCAAAUCUGUCUUUUGUUUUCAACUUAAACUUCAUUUCCGCACAUGUUCCUAGCUUGGUUUGGUACUUGUAUGACUUUGAGCCUAUUGAACCAUUAUUGAAAUGAGAUGAUUUUGUGUGUGACUUUGGGACUGAUUGAGGAAAUGAAUGAAGCCAUAAAUGGUUAGAAAAUAGGUAAAUACAAAGGGCGUGCUGUCCAAAUUUACGCUCGAGAACUAGGUAGAUACUUGCGACUUGUAUAAGGCUUGAGAGCGAAUACCACUUGAACCAUCUAGGAUAUUUGCAACCUCUUUUAUCAAGGCACAUAAGUUGGAUUUCGGCUGAACCUUGUACCCUUGGAAAAAAUGAAAUUUACAGCUAAUAGAAAUACGUUUUUUUUGUCACUCCGACUCAAAUGGAGAUUUUAAAGUUUUACGAGUGAGCAUAAAAACCAUAUUUAUAUUUUGUACUAGUACAUAUUCGAAUUUUCUUGGAAUCACUUAAAUCUUUGAUAGUUGAAACAUAAUGUGUUCUUUUGAUUAUAUUAGGGUUCAUCGGUGACUAACGGUAUUAUCCGGCAAGAUAUUUUGGAUAUUAUUUUGCGUAAAUAUGUGAGUGUUCCUUGUUUGUUAUAUUUUCAUUGACUAUAUGGCUUGUUCUUGACUAUAUGGCUUGUGGUGGAUGUAUGAUUGCAUGUUCCAUGUUAUCAAUGACUGUUAAAACGAAUUUUACUAGGCGAGUGUGUUGCAGGCACAAUAUGCAAGCAAAGAUCCAGAUUAUUUGAGUUGCAAGAAAAAGACAUGCCAAAGUACGUGGCUGGGAAGUGCAGAGUUAGCACCUGUGGCUGCCACUUUAUCAUUUCAUGUUAUUAACAUCAGAACAGACAUAAAAUUCGUUUUCUAUGGUGGCGGAUUUGAGACUCCUUGCAUUCUAAAAAUAUCUGAUUCUGCUACCUUUGCCAACCCCCAAAAGCCUUUUAUGGACACCUCUCCAGCACUGAUUCAACUGGAAAAUCUGUAAGUAAAUUACUCUUGCAUUUUAGGCUUUUUUUUGUCCCAUUAAUGCAGAUUCAUUUUGAGGCUUUUAUCCCAUUAUUCUACAAUAUAAACAGUUUUAAUAAAAUAUUUAUUUGAGUUUAUUAUCCCAUUAGUUCAUAGUAGAGGUGUCAAAAUGGGUGACUUGGGCGGGUUUUGGGUUGGGUAAAAUGGGUAAUGGGUAUAAGUGAGUCAACUCAUUUAUACCCAUUUAAUUAGAUGGAUAUAAAUGGGUAAGUCAAAAAAUGAAUUGGUAACCCAAUUACCCAUUUAUAACCCAUUUAUUUUAAAUUUUUGUAAACUCAUUUAAAUUCAUUUUUGCAAACUAAGUUAUCAAUUUAUACCACUCUUUGUACCCAUCAUUAGUUUUAAAUAUUUACUUAUAAUGUUCAAUAAACUUAAUUACCAAUUUUUUUUUCAUAUAUACUCUAUGUCACAAAAUUACCUAUUAUUUAAUAAUUGAAUAUAUAAAAAUUUGAACUAAGUACUAUAAAAAUUAAUAUAAAAACUUAAUCCAAAAAUUUUGAACCCCUAACAUUUUUUUCAUAUAUAAAUUUAAAAUUUCAUUUUAGAAAGAUAAGAAAAUAGGCUAAAAUUUAUCAUAAAUUGGUAAUGUUGAAAAACGAGCAAGUUAACAAACUAAGAGGAAAUAAUAAUAAGAUAAAAUCAACAAAUAAUAAUAAUAAUGAAACAAAAGUAGUUAACAUCAUGACAAAAUGAAAAAUUUGAAAAAAAAAUGGGUGGGGAAAAAGAAGAGACUUGGGGGGAAGAGAAUUCUAAAUAGGUUAAUUGGGUUUGAUGUGUUACCCAAUAAUACUCAUUUAUUAAAUGGGUAUUAUUGGGUAACCCAUUUAUACCCAUAUACAAAAAUUUAAGAUACCCAUAUUUAUCUAUUCAUAGACGGGUAUAUGUAAAUUUAGUUAAGUGGGUUAAUUUGCUACCUCUAGUUCGUAGUAUGAUUAAUUUGAAUCAAAGAUUGUCAUGAACUAGGAUUUAUACAUCAUAAAAGGUAAAGCGUUCAAAAUGAAAGUGUAGUGAUAAAAUCGGUUUGUAAGCCUAAGACUUGCAAUCAUGCCUAGUCGAGAAUAAAAUUCUAAUGGUGCAAACUCACAAUUUGUAAACAAUAUUAAAGGUGUAACACCAACUCCCUUUAAAAAAAAAAAAAAAAAGUUGUUGCAAGCAUCUUUUACCUCAUUAUUUGUCCAAAGGACAAGUAACAUAAUUUUGGGCUUUUCUUUUUCUAAUUAUAGAUGAGAGUAACGUGGGUAAGUGGGGAUAAACAACCACAGAAAGUUCAAUAUGGAGAUGGGCAAUCCCAAACAUCUCAAGUGACUACAUUUACUCAAGACAACAUGUGCAGUAAGUGACAUGUUUCCUAUGCCUUCUUUUACUUCAUUCCGAAUUUAAAGUUGUACCCAAAUAAAAAGAUCUUCAAAUGAAAACUACUAAACAUUUGCAAGAUGAAUCCAUUCAAUAGUUUCAUCAUGAUCACUGUCUUGUAUGGCCAAUUUCAUUUGGAGAUGUGCAAAAAUUCGAACUUUUUAGAAAUUCUUUUCAAUAACAAUACCAGCUUUCAGAGUGUGGAUGAUAUGGUUUCAUGUAUUGACUGCAAUUUUUGUUCAAAAUAGUUUAGCAUAUAAGUUUUUCAAUUUUUUUCUCAACCCUUCGCUGCAAAUUAAACUGAUAUAUAACCUUAAUUGGGACAAGUGAAAAAUUGGAUGAGCACAAUAUCAGAGAUCCCAUAACUAGAACAUAAGAAAUCUCUCCUCAACAUUAAUAUUGGUAUACAUGCAGUUCUUGUAACAUUAAUAUUCCUUGGAAAUAAUUUUAGUAUUGAUUGAAAACGAAAAUAAUGCUAAGAUACAAUCUUUAAUUUUUUUUAAAAAUUUGGUCUAUUUCAUAGGUUGGGCUGUGAAAAGUCCAGCUAGCGAUUUCGGCUGGCAUGACCCAGGCUACAUUCAUUCAGCAGUGAUGACUCGACUUAAACCUUCAACCCAAUUCUCUUACAGAUAUGGCAGGUAAUAAACUAACUGAUUCAACUAGCAAAAUCCUUCAUUUAAGAUGGAUUUUUUCAAAAAGAGUAGAGAAGUUAAAAAAAAAAAUGUCUGAUCUGAUGAAUUUAUUAGCUAAUCCCUCCCCGGAAUUAGAAUAAACCAUUACUCGGAACACAGAUGAUUUAUCUUUACUUAGAGAUGGACUUCACAUAUUUUACACUAACCCUCCUAAAUUAUUUAUUUUAACUCUGUACGUGUGAGAUAGAUUUGGUAGAAAUUGGAUGAAAUAUUAUAAUUUCCUAAAAACUGAUCUUCUAUGCUUGAUUUUUAGCUGCCUUAAUUGUUAUAUGUAUUGAUGCACCAUUAAAACUUUUCUAUCUUGUAGUGAUUCAGCAGGUUGGAGUGAUAAAAUCACAUUCAGAACACCACCUGCUGGUGGAUCAGAUGAGGUUAAGAUUGUUGCAUUUGGAGAUAUGGGCAAGGCCCCUCGUGAUCCUUCAGUCGAACACUAUAUUCAGGUAAAUAAAAAGAUACAUAGCAUUUCAACUGGCUUCAAGAAUCUGACUAGAAUUCAUGACCUUUUUGGUUGAUUGAGGAGUUGGUUUUUGUUACAUAUGCAGCCGGGAUCAAUAUCAGUAAUUGAAGCCAUAGCUAAUGAAGUAUCUAGCGGAAAUAUAGAUUCUAUAUUUCACAUUGGAGACAUAAGUUAUGCCACUGGAUUUCUAGUAGAAUGGGAUUACUUCCUUCACCUUAUUAACCCUGUGGCUUCUACUGUGUCGUACAUGACAGCAAUUGGGAACCAUGAGAGGUAGGUUCACUUUCUUGAAUAGCUAUGUGCUUAAUCUUUCACAUGCAGGAUUUUCUUUUUGAUUAUGGCCUUGUUCUUGUUGCUUUAGAUUUUUGCAAAAUCUAAUUAGGGAAUUUUUUUAUUAUUAAAAAAAUCUAUAAUUUUAAUAAAAAAAGUACAAUAGAAAUUUUUUUAAAAAAAAUAAUUAUCCAGAAUCAGAACUUGCAGUGGGUUAAAAUAAUCAGUCGAGAAUAAACUAAAAUGUAGCUAGCCCAUUAGAAUUUCUUCCAUAUAUAUUAAUAAUAAAUAUUUUCAGGGAUUAUGUGAGCUCAGGAUCAGUCUAUAUUACUCCAGACUCUGGUGGAGAAUGCGGAGUGCCUUAUGAAACUUACUUUCCAAUGCCAACAGCAGCAAAAGACAAGCCUUGGUAUUCUAUAGAACAAGGAAGUAUUCAUUUUACCAUUAUCUCAACCGAACAUGAUUGGACAAAAAAUUCUGAGCAAGUAAAUCUCUUCUUAAGCUGCAUGUGCAAUAUUCGCUUUUUCUUUUAAUAAUAUUCUUUGAUCAUUCUAUCAAAUUCCAACUGAAAUGCAAUAUCUUCUAUAUUAAUAACAGUACAAUUGGAUGAAUAAAGACAUGGCUGCAGUCGAUCGAUCUAAAACUCCUUGGCUAGUCUUUACUGGGUAAGUUUUGUCUUUGCUACUCAGUGAAAGAAUUAUGUGGUUCUCUAAAUUGGUUUAUAAACUAAUAUUUUAAAAUGAUAUAUGGGCUACAAAAUUACAUUUGAAAUAAGUUAAAAAAGGUUUUUCAUUUUAACUUAUUGGUGAAUAUUUUUUUUUUUUUUGCUUAAAAAACUAGAAAAAGAGUAGGUAAAACAUUUAUAGCUUUUAACCCCACUGAAAAUUUUUUCUGGCUCCGCCACUUUUGCUACUCCAUUUUUGUUAAGUUGAACUCAUGUUAUGAAUUUGCAGUGCUAAAAAUUGAUGAUUAAAUACUUCGUCUGCGCUCUUACGUUGCAUCUUGGCCUUUCUAGCAUCAUCAACUUAUGAUUGAUUGUUUACCAUAGUUUAUACUACAACCAAGCAUAUCAAGGAUAAACAUGGCAAAUUAAGCUUUUAUUUUGUAAAACUCGGAAUAGCCUAAUAUACAAUUUUUUUUAUGAAAAACAAUUUUUUUAUAGUAGAAAAAGAGUGAGAUUUAAGUAGAGGUGGCAAUAUGGAUAAAUGGUUCAUAAUUGGUUUUGAUUUAAUGGAUGGUGGAUAAAAUUUAUCCAAUCCAUUUAGAUCCAUUUAAUAAAUGGAUCUAAAUGGAUGGAUCUAAAUGGAUUAAAUAAAAACCAAUUAUCCAUUUAUAAUCCAUUUAAAUAUUUUUGUUACUUUUUUUUUGUAUUACCAUUUCUUGUAAAUUCAAGCCACAAAAUACCACGGAUGUAAAUUCAAGCAAAAUGAACCUUCAUUUCACUAAAAAAACUAUCUGAAAAUAUUAUUAUUAUUAUUUUUUUUAUUUUUAUUAUUAUAUAUGUAUAUAUAUAUAUAUAUAUUACAUAUUACAGAGUAGCCAUAUAUUGCAAACUAGCCCAAACAAUAGAAGUCCUGCAUAGACCGUACGUAGGGUAUCUACAAAUUCGGCAUCCAUGGAAUUUAAUUAUGGCCCAUAUUAUCUUCUACUUUUAGCCUUGACUGCAUUUAAAUUUAUCUCAAAUUCGGCAUUUCCCUCUCAAUUAAUUAAGUCCAAGAACAGAUACCAGUUUUCUGUUGUACUUUAAAAAAUAAGAGAGAUCUUAGAACAAGUAAAAGUUCAUAGAUAUAUGAUUCAAGUGGAUUAAUUAACCGAUUUGUAAACUUAUUAAUGUGUUUGUUACCAAAAAGAAAAUGAUCAAAUUUACCCCUCCUAAUUCAAAAUCCUCUCAUGGUCUGAUGUUGACCCACUUUCUUAGCAAAUGAAUUAGAUUUCACUAAGUGAAGAAUUAAAAUAAACUAGUAACUCACCUUAUUCAAAAAUGCAUUUAAAUGAAUAACUAUAUUUUUCUUGUUCUAGUUACUAGUUCAUGUAAGCAAAAUUUUCACACCCAAUUGCAAUUUUAGGAUGGCUCGCUUUUUAGUCAUUUCCUUUCCUCUCUUUUAUUUGGUUUUUAAGUAAAUAGAUAUAUAUGGUUUUAGUGGAUAAUCCAUAUAAAUCCAUUUAAUUUAAUGGUUUUACUUUGAUCAACCAUUUAAAACCAAUACUAUAAAUGGAUAAUCCAUUAUCCAUUUAAUUAUGGAUUAUAUGGAUGGAUAAAUGGAUUUCAAUCCAAAUUGCGCUUCUAGAUUUAAGAUACGGGCAGAAAAACCAUGGAAAUUUGAAUCAAAGACCUCUAAUAUCUGGUAUCUCAAUCUUACCUUCUAAAUCAAGGCUUCCUUGACACAACAUUAUAAAUAUGUCAAUUAGCAAAAAGUGUUUGUGGAAAGACCAAUACCGUGUACGUGUACUUUAUCUUACCAAGGCCACCUAGAUUAUGUUUAUUUAGCGCAUUUGUUUUUCCGUGUAUUCCAAAUUAGUAAUGAAAUUAAAAUUGCAAAUUGCAGACACAGGCCUAUGUACUCCUCCAAUGGUGGCUCAGUCAUUAUUCCAAGUGUGGAUAAAAAAUUUGUGCAAGCUGUGGAGCCCUUGCUAUUAGCAAACAAGGUAAGUAACUGACGAAAGUUAAACAACCAUUUACUACUUGAUAGUUAUUUACUUCAGACUUUGUACUAAUACCGAUCAAUCAACCUGGAAUGCUCUUUUUCUAGGUCGACCUAGCUCUCUUUGGUCAUGUUCAUAAUUACGAGAGAACAUGUGCAGUAUACCGGAGAGAUUGCAAAGCAAUGCCUAAGAAAGAUAAAAAUGGGAUUGAUAUUUAUGACAAUUCCAAUUACAGUGCACCAGUUCAUGCUGUUAUUGGAAUGGCUGGAUUUACCCUCGACAAAUCUCCAAGUAAUGUAAGCAUAUUGAACCUUUCUCAAUUUUAAAUUCCUCCCCCAUCCCCGUGCUUGACUCGUAAGAAACGCCUAUUUUAAAUGGAUUUGGGACAGGAACAGUUACUCGUAUCAAUUCAGUGUUAGGAUAAUUAGAUUUUAGAACAUCUGUUGUCAAAAAUCAGCAGCGUAUGAAGUUACUUUUUCAACAAUUAAUCUAUAUGAACCUCACAAACUUUUUUUAAUACAAUUAUGAUUUGUACAAAUCCCUAUUCCAAUUGUAUUAAAAACCAGUCCAACCAUUUUGAAUCACAGUUCCAAUCUGUAGACUGUAUGGAAGCCAAAGACAAGCUGUUUUCAAUUUAUACGUGGCUAUGAUAGUCAGAAAUUUUUUGGGAUUUUAAAUGUACUCGAGGUUUUUCCAAACAAUUCUUGUCAAACGUGAUUAUCUAAGCACUGAUGUUGAAGAAUCUCAUUCGAUUAUUACCAUGGAAUUAUAGUUUUGAGUGUCCCUUUACGUUCAAUGGAAUUAAGAUGAAGCAAUUUUAAUACACUUGUCUCGUGAUCAACAGGCGAUAGCUGGAGUUUAGUUCGGGUCUCGGAGUUUGGGUACGUGAGGGUCCAUGCAACAAAGAAAGAACUGAAUUUUGAGGUAAGGUUGCAGAUUUGUUUGGAUAUUGAUCUUAUUUGCAAAAAUUUGUUUACGUGUAUCAUAAACACGUUUUUAACUAUUUUUUUAUGUUUUAAAUCACACUUCUAUUUUAUAUAUAUAUUAUAACAUAAAAGUACUAUAGUGUUAUUUCGAAUAAUUUUUUCAGAAAACCCCUUAUCCAAACAUGGAUGAGAUCCAUAUUGGCUAUAGUGUUAGGAUAAAUAAUUUUCUCCAUAACCCAAAAGGUCAAAACCCAUAACCCAAUUGGAUUUGUUUGGAUAUUAAUCUUAUUUGCAAAAAUAUUUUUAUUUGUAUCAUAAACAAAUUUAUCAACUAUUUUUUUAUAUUCUUAAUCACAUUUUUACUUCAUAUAUAUUACAUCAUAAAAAGUACUACAGUAUUAUUUUGAACGAUUGUUUCAAAUAAUCGCUUGUCCAAACAUCUCCAAUAUAUGAAACACCCUUUACGAAAAACGUGUUUGAGAAGUUUGAUAAAAAGCAACGAUAAGUAGGAUACCAGGGCAGGAACAGCUGUGUAUGAUUGUUGUACUUCGUCUAUAAUUAAUUGAGUAUACAUUUAAAAAUGUGAUUGUAUUUAUGCAUUGAAUUGGCGUGGAUGAAUAAAAUUUAUGAAAAUAAGGCUGUAUAACCGAAAAUCAUGUUAUGUAAAAAGUAUAAACAACCAGAUAAUUGUACAAAAUUUCCAACUGUAUUUGCCCUUGUCCCUGAUAAGUAGUGUUAUUUGAAAGACUAAUAAUUAUUUAAGUUCACACCUGUUAUGUUGCAUUUUCCUUGAGCAUUGAGUACUGCUGUACUAGAAAAAUUAAACUCGUUGAUUAAUGCCCCCAUAAUCCUGAAAAAUAGGGCUCUAUGGUAAUCGUGCACAUUCAAAUAUUUGACUAUUUGUAUUCAUCUAAUUUUCAUUGCUUAAUUAUACAUUUUCACUCCAUAAUUCUCACAGUUAAGUUGGUGCAGGAGACUGUUAGAUGAAGUUGUCUCACUUUUUUUUCCAUUCAAUUUUACAGUUUGUAAAUUCAAGUACGAAAAAGGUUGAAGAUAGCUUCAGAAUCAUCAAAGCAUAAGGAUUACCGAGAAAAUAUAUAUAUGUAUACACAUAGGAAGCACAAGUAUAUCUUUAGCAAAAUUGCAUAUUUUGUCCUUGCUCCUUGAUAGAAAUCCUUUAUGAGGACAAUCCAUAUAAAUAUAUAGGGAGAGAAACAUAUAUGAGCUGCAAAGCAUAGCAAAAUAUUCCCAUAACUUUAUCUCAACCGGAUUGAAAGCAAGUUAUGUAUAGGAAGAUGAUCCAAGUUGAACUUAAUUCAUUAAAUAAAAUGAAGAUUCGCAUUGAUUUAUUGAUUUUUCAUUACCUAAAUUCAUCCUAUACACUAAAUUAUUGAGUCCAAGUUUCAGCACUAACCUUGACAGAAAAGAAAAAGGAAAUUGUCAUAGUGUCAGCCACUAAAAAGUUCUAAUUACUUAUUCCUCAUCAUCAUUGAUCAUUCUGAUAAGAUUGCACUAUCAUCAGUGUUAAAACACUAGCUUCCACUCGAGCAACAAGUUAGACAUGCAAACAUUACCAAUAAUAAUCCUAUUAAAAAUAAAUAAAUGCAACAGUAAAAUUAAAGAAAAUAUCUUAAUGAAAAAACUGAAUUAAGUAGUAUCGAUACAAAGAAGGAAUUCCUGAAUCGAGAGUUAUCGUUCUAUAUCAAACACUGCCAUUAGGACUCGCUCUCGAGUCGCACGAAGGAGCUUGACACACAAACCACAAGACACAGCUACAAUUCAUCACGGAUUUUGUAGGAUCAAUAUUUGUAAUGGAAUUGCUGCACCCAACUAUACACAUAAUAUUGAUUAUACCUUCUUAACUUAUCCUGUAGCUGUGCAAUCGUGGGCGUUUAGUUUCUUAAACUAGAAAAUUCAACUACAAUCGACUGAUCAGAUUACAUCUUGGCUUCCCAACCAGCUUUGCGACUAUCAAGCAAAGAGAUGGAAUUGGUGGGUGUUAUUCUUUGGAAUUUAUGGAAUAAUUGAAAUGGAGCAAUCUUGAUGGGCCCUACAAGAUCCUCUUAGCUUGGUCUCCCUGUCCAUAACAUUCCUAAAUCAAUUCCAUGAAGCAAAUUCCAAAGAUAAGUGCAAUACGCCUACCUCUCUUCAGUCAAGGUUAUCAAUAGGUCAUUGGAUAUGACCCAAAGCAGGUUUUGUUAAGGCAAACUUUGAUGGAGCUGUGUUUAUGGAUGAUAAAUCAUCAGGGUUGGUGUUAUUAUCCAGGAUGAUAAAGGAAGUUUCAUUGCUGGCCUCUCCAAGAAAAUUCUUGGGAUAUUGGAACCAAAUGUGGUUGAAUCAUAUGCGGCCAAACAUGCUACCCAAUUACUACAAUCUUUGAGUUUCAAUAAGAUUGUUUUGGAAGGAGAUUCACAAAAAGUCAUCAAAAUGCUAGAGUGUUUGGAAUCUGACGAUUCAUCAUGUGGCUUAUUGAUUGAUGAUACCAUUGUCUUAUGUCAAGAUUUCAUGUGUUGGGAAGUUUCAUGGAGGCUCACAAAUGACUUGCCUUGAUACUAAUUGAUAUGAUAUAGAAGCGUGAUAAAAUAGAUGGAGGCUCACAAAUGACUUGCUCUAAUACUACCUGAUGUGAUAUAGAAGUGGUGUGUGCGCAUGUGAAACUCGAUUGAAUUCGAUUAAACUCGACAAGUUUUCGAACUUUACAUAUUAAAUUCGAGUUCGACUUGUCAAGUAGGUGGACCUGCUUAAACUCGAGCUCGAACUCACAUUGUUUUGACCGAACAAUCUCGCGAGUUACUCAAUUAAGUUUGACUUGUUUGUCCUAGUGUCAAAUGUAAUAGUUCGCAGUUGGACAAGUUGCUUCAACAGUAGAGUGCUAUAUGAAGCAAGCAACAUGGCGUGAUGUAGCAGUAGCAAGCUUGCAAUGAACAUUACAACAAUUGUGAGAGACAAUGAAGGAAGGAAGGAAGGAAAUGGUGCUCCACAUGGAAAGGCAUUUACUUCAUCCGCUAUUAAUUAUUAAACCAUACAGACAAAAGAAAAUGGUAAGAGAUAGAUGCUUGCUAGUGCAUAACAACCAUUACUAGCUAAUACUACUAUUCCCAGCAUUCCUUAAUAAUCUUGGAUAACAACAUUAUGAAGUAAAACUAACCGUUGAAGUUUCACCUUCUGAUUUUCACUUACAAGCAUCUUAUUAAUAGAAAAGUAAUAUUGCUUUUUCAAUCAAAAGCCAGAAUUAUUAAAAAAAAAAAAAACCUUUCAUAUUGGAUUGGAUCUAUAAGCACAGUGGUAAUCAAGUCCUUGAGCUUGGUGGCAGAAUGUGUAUACCAAUCUUCGUCAUUGUAUAACAGAUUUAUACCAACCUCGUGUCCCGCCAUGUCGUCCAUUAAUCUACAAAUGAUUGAUGCAGCUCUAACGAUUAAUGGUUCGUUUGUUACCCAAUCAAAAGUUUGUGUAGCAAAGAAUCUCCCAUUCCAACCAUGGAAGUUGUUGCUAGCAUCAUGUAUGCUCCUGUGACAAGUGCAACCUUCAUGUGCUCCUCAACUUUUGGGACGUAGCCAUUGUGAAGCCAUAUGGCCUCUUGAAGAUAUCCCUUCACUAACUUUUUCAUCUGGAAGAUGGAACAAUAAUCUAUCGUAUGCCAUACGAUACUCCAAUAAUCAAACGACAAAUUUGUAAUAUACUCUGUGAAUAGACCAUCUAACAAAUAUGUAACUCUCAUAAUGAAUCCCACAUGUGGAAAUUGGAAUACAACUUCACAUGUAUUGAUUGUGAAAUGGUCUACCUUAAUUGGGAUCUCGAUCCAUCAGAAUUUGCAAGUUAGCCCAGAAAAGCGUUAAUCCAAGCAUAUUACCUCUAAUUUGAAUAAUUGACUCUAUCUGGUUUGCCUUCCUUGGCCAAUUUUUCCUCGAAUUCUUUGUAAACAUCCAGCAAGGCACGGUAACAGUGUCUCAUAUAAGAUGGUAAUCGAUCCAAUUCAUUGCUGUGCCACCUGGGUAUCAUUCAUGCAGACCACCAGACCAAAUUAUUGUUACAAAAAUAGCAAGGGACUUAGGACUGUGAAAGGGGAAAAAACAAACAAAAAAGUAAAUUUACCGUUCUAUCGCAUCUGUGAAAAUGAUUAAUUCAUCCAGAGUGGCAUAGACAUCAUAAAUGUCGUCAAUGAUGGAAGUGAUGGAGAUUACUUUUGUUAGCACUUCUCUAGCGAAGCAAUAUUUGGGCUCAAAAUACACUCCCCAUAUCCAAAAGUAGCACUCCACCAAUCGGUCCCUUGCAAAUGGUAAGUUCGUUGCAACAUCUAUGCCUUUCCACCAUCUGAAAUGUAAAGAAUCAGGGUAGAAGUUUCUUUUUACUCACUAGCAAUUGGACAUGUGAUUACUUGGAAAAAUUUUCAGAAUAAUCAUUUAGAAAUUUUUUUUUAAUAAUUAUUGUAGCACCCAUCAGUAUUUUGUGGGAUCGUCAGCCUUGCCCUGGUCCUUUUUUUUUUUUCUUUUUAAGCUAAGUAUUAGGAUAUAUGCAGUCAUUUACUUACUUUGUUAGUCCGCUUAGUUCCUUCUGAUGCAACUUCUGCAAUUUGUUAAAAUCCAAUUUUGCAAAUUUUAGCAACAAUUUAUCAUGUGAUUCAUGUUGUUGGUAGAGAGAUAUGUACUGCCUUGCUCCCAGCCUUGUCAAAGUUUUCUGGAUCGGCAGCUUAAGAGCUUGAACAACUUGUGCAGCAAGAAAAUGCUCAAGUUUGGAACCAAGGAUUCAAGGUUAUCAGAAGUAAAUUUCAGCGCUUCGUCCAAAACCUUCUCCCCGUGCACUCCAAAGUUUGCUGCUUCGUACAAGCUCAACAUUCCUCGCAUAUCGUUCGCCAGAGAUUCCUUAAAAUCUCCUUUCGGGUUCUUGAAUUUGUUGAACACGUCUGUUGAAAAACGUAAUAAAUAAACAAAAAUAAAUUAGUAAUGCCUUCCACUAAAAGUAUAAUAAACGGUGCAUGUCUUUUAUGUUAUCAAGAAAUAUUAGAGAAUGGAGAAAGAAAUAAUAGUCUCUGGUGUAGCACGUCCUGGUCCAUGAAUGCUUAAGUGCAUGGCAAUUUGUGAACCUGAUUUACAUCUAUGUGUGUUUUAAAGGUCGAUUUACUUACCACAAGAGGCAUGAAAACCUUUUUGUCUGAGUAAUCGGAAACGAAGAGCAAUAGUGUAGAGGUCAUUGCCAUCUUUGUGAUUCAACUCAUGGUAGGCAUCGAAAAUCUUUUGCAAUGAUGCCUCGAUUUCACUCUCAAAAUGGUACGACACCCCAAGACGCUGAAUGGUGUCUAUCAUGUCUAGCUUUCCAGGAAACUCGUCAGGAGUUUCAGUUAACAUCUCUCUAACCUCUUCUCUUAGCCGUUGAAGCUCUCCCCCUCCUUCGAAGAAUUUUUCCUUCAAAAAAGGAAAAAAAAAAAAAAAACCAGUUCCAAAAUUAAUUAAGUUUUGUGAUUCGCAAGAUCAAGAAAGUAACUGCCACAAGAAAAGCUGGAAAUCGUAUGCUAAUGCUAUCACCUUAUGCUGAGAAGCAUACGCAAGAAAAUGAUCUCCCCAAACGCUUGGAUGAUAAUUGGCAAAGCGACGGGAACUGGUACUUUUUCAACAACAUCCUCCAUAAUCGAUUUUAAGAAAUGCUUGGAGUUUAUUUAAGUAAACUUCCUGGCAGACUGCAAAGUUCCCGCAAUGCAGCUUUUAUGCACCGCCGCUCUCUCUACUCCGCUAUUUAUGUCCCUGUUAGAUGUGGCUAACUUUGACUAUAGCAAGACGUAAAGGAAUUGGCAACUAUUUCGUUAGUUUUUGUGCAUUCCAUAAAAAAUUAGAAUAAAGCCAGAUGAAUUUUAUAGUUUAACAAUCUAGGACAGUGCUAGGGUGCCUAUAGUUAUCAGAACGAUAUUAGGGACAUCUACUAUUGUACGUCUAUAUUAACUUUAGUAAUAGAUCAAGUUUUUUAGCAUCUUUUUAAAUAUUAUAUUAGAAUAAUUAAUAUUAACAUUAGUAAGUUUUUAAUAAAAUUAGUAAGUAUAUGUCUGAAAUGGUAAGUUUUAGUCAAAAUAGAAAUUUACACUUUGAGUAAUAUAAUUUACUUAUAAUUUGACAAAAGUUAUUUUUGUUUAAAUUAAGCUUACUAAUACUAAAAGUAAAAAAUUGCAUCUUUAAGUAAAAAAAUCACCUGUUCCUAAAAUGCUUGCGGGUUAUCACGUCUCUCUAAAAUCACAUGCCUUCUUCUUAUUCUCUUCUCACGAUAUGAUCUUGGCAAAAUUUUCCUCUUUGCCCCGCAUUUUGUCUUGUCGCAAUUGAACAAAAUAUUUUCUCUAGCAAAAUUUUCCUCUUUAGUCCACACUUUCCCUCUCUCCUUCGUAAUUGAUCGGUUUUAGAUGCUAACAUAUGCAGACCCAACAAAAGAGUUGAGAUUUUUAUUAGGGAUUAGUGGCAGUGGCAGUUGAUGAGAGAGCAGAUAAAAAAUAGUAGCCAAGAGAUUAGACCAUUCUUAAAAAUCAUUUGAUUAUAUUGCUUUAAUUUAUUUAUCUUUCAUUUGAUUUGAUUGUCAAGAUUUUCUUGCAAAAUACAUGGGAAAUGACUUAGACCCUUUAUGUGAAACUUAGUAGUAUGUAGGCAUCUAUGUUAAAUGUGGUUAAUUUGGGAAUACUAAUAGGAUGUUUGGUGAAAUGUCAAAGAAAAAUUUAUCUACUAUGUUUGAUGCUUGUGCGGGAUGAGAACGCACCAGGUAGGGUGUAACAACACCAGUUGAAAAUUUGUAUCAUCUUACACAGUAACACUCAUUUAAGAUUUGAGUACAGUUUAACAAACAAUUUGUUUCAGCAAAAUAACAUACAAUCAGAAGCAAUUAUGCAAAUAAAAGGGUAAAAUUGUGAAAAAAUAAUUAAUAUUAUAUAAGGAUAAUAAAACGACAGAUAAAAAUACAUUAGAGCAAAUUUCUUAAACUUCAAUUAUAAAAAAAGGAGGAGUAAUUGGGAGGCAUGCAGCCACCGGCCAUGCAAGAUAAAUGCAAAACAUGUCUCGGUACUUGGGGUGGGGGUCUGCAUCCACUGUUUAUGGCUUUAUGCCUUCUCCUUUUUACUCAUUAAUUCUCUUCUGCACAUUUUAAUUGUAAAUUGCAUUUCUCACUUCCCCUUUCCCCUCUUCACUUCUUAAAUUUCACUCCUCUGUUGUUAGAGAAAUUUUUUUAAAAAAAAAUUCCUUUUAUUUUUUCCAACGAUUUAACAACUUCGACAUUUUGACAACAUAAGUUUGUCACACAGGAGUGGUAGAAGACCCCCAUAAACCACAAAAUUAACCGAGUAUGAAAGUUUUUAAAAAAUACAAGAAGAAAAAGAAAAAGAAAAACUGUAAUUGGAAAGGGAGUACACAUUUACCAUGAAAUAAGAAGUUUGAAUAAUUUCAGCGUGUCAAUUCAUGUAAUCUUGAUCCAAACACAACUGAAAGAACUUAAAUUAUAUGAAGGUGUGCUUCAUUAUCCAACUCCUGUUUUUGAGUGUGUGUCUGGUGCUAAGUUAAUUGAAAGAUGCUAUCACCAGGUUAAGGGGAAAACAAAACUCAGAAAUUUUCUAAAUUGAUGAACUGAUCCAGACCGAUUACCUGCCCAUCUUCAGCAUAGUUAUAUAACAUGAGUGUGUGUCUAGUGCUAAGUUAAUUGGAAAGAUGCACGAUAAAGGGAGUAUAUAGCUUCUAAAAGGGCCUUCUGAGGAAAGUCCCCACCAUAAUCUAAAACCACUAGCUUCCACUUGAACAACAAGUUAAACAUGCAAACAUUAACGAUAAUAAUCAUAUUAAAAAAUAAAUAAAUACAACACUAAAAUUAUAGAAAAUACCUUAAUUAAGAACCUAAAUUAAGUAAUAUCGAUACAAAUAAGAAAUUCCUGAACCCAAGAGUUAUCGUUCUAUAUUAAACACUCUCAUUAGGACUCUCUCGAAUUCCACGAAGGAACUUGACACACAAACCACAAGAAGACACAGCUACAAUUCAUCCACGGAUUUUGUAGGAUCAAUAUUUGUAGUGGAACUGCUGCACCCAACUAUACACAUAAGAGGUUGUAUACCAUCUUGGGGCAAUUUCGAAACUAACAACUUCAUUGCCUUCCAUUGUCAAAACAUAUUUUAUUGUCCUUCCCCGGUUGAUAAGGAACUCAAUAUGCUUGGCCUUUGCAGGAAAAAUCUCAAUAAGAGAAGAUUUGCCGAAAAUAAAUUCAUUUUUUUUUACGGAAACGAUAGGAAAUAUAUUGAUUUCAAAAACAAGCUAUACAAACUUGAGCAAAGGCCCAUCACGAGCUUUACAAUUGUGUUGCUUGACACAGAGGACUUAGAUAUUCCUCAUCUUGCACUAAAGUAGUAGCAUACUUGCUAAUUCUUUUCCCUAAUCUAUUACACUGGUUUUCAGCCAAGCUGAAUGAGCAGUUCAUAAACAAAGCUUUGAGCAUGUGAAUGUCUUCUAAUUGAGCAAAAAGUCUGAUGUCUUGUGUGUUGUGAGUUCGCAGCAUUCGUAACAACUGAGCGGAUGAAACUGGUAGAUUAACAUCUGGCCAAGGCUUUUGUCUAAUUUUACACAAUGAUAAUUUGAGCGCAGCAGAAUAAUCCAGUAAAAAGUCACCUGUACUUCUGUCUCGCAUGGCCCAUGCAGCGUGGCCGAAAAUAAAUUCAUUACCAGACCAAAAUUCUCGUGAGCCAAAGUAUCAACUGGCUCUAUAGAUUUAACCAGCAACUCAUAUGGUGGUGGUCGAUUUAUUGGCGAGAAAUCCUCAGAAAUUUCAUCAACCAUCAAAUCUUGAAAUUCAUCCAACCCUUCAAAUUUGACGGUUGGAGAAUUUAGAUCCACUUCAGGAUCCAUCGCAGACAAGCAUGGAGGAAAUUCAACUUCUUCAUCUUCAAGAUUGGGAUCAUAGAUAAAUUCCUCCUCCUUGAUCUUAGGCUCACAAAUGACUUGCUCCGAUACUAAUUGAUAUGAUAUAGAAGUGCGAUAAAAUAGAUGGGGGCUCACAAAUGACUUGCCCCAAUACUACCUGAUGUGAUAUAGAAGUGUGUGUAUGUGUAAAACUCAAUUGAACUCGAUUAAACUCGACAAGCUUUCGAGUUUUACAUAUUAGACUCGAGCUCGACUCAUCAAGUAGGUGAACUUGUUUAAACUAGAGCUCGAACUCGUAUUAUUUUGACAGAACUCGUAUUGUUCGCGAGUUACUCAAUUAAACUCGACCCGUUUGCACCUCUAGUAUCAAAUGUAAUUGUUCGCAAUGCUUCAACAGUGGAGUGCUAUAUGAAGCAAGCAACAUGGCGUGAUGUGGCAGUAGCAAGCACGCAAUGAACAUUACAGACAAAUCGAGAUAUGGCCAAUAAUUGUGUGAACAAUGAAGGAAGGAAAUGGUGCUCCACAUGAAAGGCAUUUACUUCACCCACUAUUAAUUAUUAAAUUAUACAGACAAAAGAAAAUGGUAAGAGAUAGAUGCUUGCUAAUGCAUAUCAACCAUUACUAACUAAUACUACUAUUCCCAGCAUUCCUUAAUAAUCUCGGAUAACAAAAUUAUGAAGUAAAACUAACCGUCGAAGUUUCACCGUCUGAUCUUCACUUACAAGCAUCUUAUUAACAGAAAAAUAAUAAUGCUUUUUCAAUCAAUAGCCAGAAUUAUAAAAUAAAUAAAAAAAAUUUUCAUAUUGGGAUUGGAUCUAUAGGCACAGUGGCAAUGAAGUCCUUGAGCUUGGUCGCAGAAUGUGUAUACCAAUCUUUGUCUUUGUAUAACAGAUUUACGACCUUUGCAAGGUCCACAACUCGCUCAAGAACGGCCAUAGGCACUGCAUUUGAAUUGAGGCAUUCCCCAUUUAUAUCUUUCCAAGCAUUGGCUACCUGUUUGUUAAACUCAUCAAAUGCCUCUUGCUUUGUAACCCCAUAUUCAUUCACGUAACACUCAACAGCUGUGGCCAAAUGUCCUCUUUCCUGCUCAAACUGCACCACAUAAGAUAUUGGUAGCAAUAUUCAUGAGACCUGUGUAUAACAGAAAAUUAAUUUACAAUCGUAAAUUAUUUGAUAUAAACCUCGUGUCCAGCCAUGUCGUCCAUUAAUCUACAAAUGACUGAUGUAGCUCUAACGAUUAAUGGUUCGUUUGUUACCCAAUCAAAAGUUUGUGUAGUCAAAGAAUCUCCCAUUCCAACCAUGGAAGUUGUUGCUAGCAUCAUGUAUGCUCCUGUGACAAGUGCAACCUUCAUGUGCUCCUCAACUUUUGGGACGUAGCCAUUGUGAAGCCAUAUGGCCUCUUGAAGAUUAUCCCUUCACUAACUUUUUCAUCUGGAAGAUGGAACAAUAAUCACAUUAAUUUUUGAGUUAAUCUAUCGUAUGCCAUGCGAUACUCCAAUAAUCAAACGACAAAUUUGUAAUAUACUCUGCGAAUAGACCACCUAACAAAUAUAUGACUCUCAUAAUGAAUCCCACAUAUGGAAAUUGGAAUACAACUUCACAUGUAUUGAUUGUGAAAUGGUCCAACUUGGGAUCCCGAUCCAUCAGAGUUUGCAAGUUAGCCAGAAAAGCGUUAAUCCAAGCAUAUUACCACUAAUUUUGAAUAAUUGACUCUAUCUGAUUUGCCUUCCUUGGCCAAGUUUCCUCGAAUUCUUUGUAAGCAUCCAGCAAGGCACGGUAACAGUGUCUCAUAUAAGAUGGUAAUCGAUCCAAUUCAUUGCUGUGCCACCUGGGUAUCAUUCAUGCAGGCCACCAGGCCAAAUUAUUGUUACAAAAAUUGCAAGGGACUUAGGACUGAAGCCUAUACCUGCUUUUAUAUAUAUUGAAAAGUUUAAGAGGAUUUGAAAGGGGAACAAAACAAAAAAAAAUAAUAAAAGUACGUUCUAUCGCAUCUGUGAAAACAAUCAAUUCAUCCGGAAUGGCAUAGACAUCAUAAAUGUCGUCAAUAAUGGAAGUGAUGGAGAUUACUUUUGUUAGCACUUCUCUAGCGAAGCAAUAUUUGGGCUCAAAAUACACUCACCAAAUCCAAAAGUAGCAAAGUACGUUGCAACAUCUAAGCCUUUCCACCAUCUGAAAUCUAAAGAAUCAGGGUAGAAGGUUCUUUUUACUCACUACCAAUUAGACAUGUGAUUACUUGGAAAAAUUUUUAGAAUAAACAUUUAGAAAAUUUUUUAGAAUAUUUAUUGUAGCACCCAUCAUAGGAUAUUAAUCAUUUAGAAUUUUUUUUUAAUAAUUAUUGUAGCACCCAUCAGUAUUUUGUGGGACCGCCAGCCUUGCCCUGGUCCUUUUGUUUUUUCUUUUCUUUUCCUUUUAAGCUAAGUAUUAGGAUAUAUGCAGACCGCUUAGUUCCUUCUGAUGCAACUUCUGCAAUUUGUUAAAAUCCAAUUUUGCAAAUUUUAGCAACAAUUUAUCAUGUCACAUGUGGAUAUUUUAAAUUUUGGAGUAUUAGAAUAUUUUUUUUGAACAUGGAGUAUUAGAAUAUUAGUUAGUUCACAAGAGAAGACUAAAGAGUGUAAUUAGGAAACAAAAAGUGCAACUAUAUGCUUGACGUUUAAUCAUCCAAAGGAACCAACCCAAUGAACCAAAAUUUAUGAGUCAUCCUAAACUGGCAUUCAAGGAGCAAUUAUAAGUGCAUACAACAAUUGUACACAAUACGAAGAUGGUGUUAAUCAUUUUUUUCUGUGCUUUAUAUAAAAAGAUUUACUAGGUUACAGUGAUAUCUUUCCCACUUCAAUACAAUUGGAUCCAGAAAAUGCCUUGAUAUUGGACCCGUAUUUUAGAACCUCAAUCAGAAUAUGCUUUGAUCUUGAACCCUCUUCUCUAAAAUACAUCGGAGCACCAAAUUUGAAUGCAGUAAAAUAAGCAACAAUCUUAUGUAGGAUUGUUUCAAAUGUACGUUGACAAACAAUAUUCCCACUUUACUAGUAUUGGCAUUCAGGGGAACCAAAAUUGUGUGGUGGCAUCAACCCUAUAAUAUCUUAUUCUUGUUAUUAGCAAGGUAAAAUUAACAUUGUGUGUUACACCAUCAUGUCAACUUUCAAGAUUUCAAUAUGGUCCUUUUCGGUUACAGUAGGCAAAAGGCCUAACCAUUUUUUUUAAAUAGAGGUGCUGUAGACACCAAAAGGCCAUUUUGCAAAGGUCAUGGCAGAAAUUAUUGCCAUUUUUGGGCUUCAUUUCCACUCGUUUUUGUUUUUUCCUCUUCCCCAACCCUUUGCUAGCUCAUCCCUUUUAUCUCUAUCAAGAUUUUUCUAGAAGAAAUGCCAUCUAAUGGCUCAAAAUUUGGAGAAAAUACCAGCCUUCAUCCUCACCUUUGAGGUGAGGGUUUUGGGAUUUUUUUCUGGCCUAUAAAAAGGCUCAUAAGGGCGGCCAAGAGGAGGAACAAGUGAGAGAGGCGGCUGAGAACAAGAAGAAAAGAAAAACAGCAGAAACAGAGUGAAAAAAGGUAGAAAAAGCGAAAAAAAGGAAAAUAUUUUUGCAGAAAAUUUGUGGAAAAGGCUGGUUCUUCAGCCACAUUGCGGGGCAUUUCUCUCUCUCAUUAUAGCUUCUCUUGAGGAACUUUGAAUUUAUGCACCAUCUACGUAGCUAGGGGAAGAACUUUUGUUCAGAAAUUUUGUCGAAAAAAUGAUUUUAAAGCCUUCGAAUUUGGCCAUAAAAUCGUUGCAUCAUCAACCCUGGUUCCGCUUAACCUUGCUGAGAACUUUUUCAACCCGCGUUCAUUCGCAUUUUUUGCCUCAAAUCUAUUUCCUUUCCGAAGCUUCAUCAGGUAGUUUUCCAACCUUUCUUAGUUUGAUUUGACAUUUAUGCAACUUAUUGGAAUAAAUUUAUGGAUGUUCACGCUUUAGAAUUUAGAACCCAUGUCUAUUCAUAUUUUUUGGAUUUUGGCCUUUGUUUGAUGUUUACUUAAGCUUUAAAUGCCAUGAAAUACAUAUAUAUGUGAAGAUCCGCUUUUAAAAGUUGGUAAAAAUGGAUUCCGGCGAAGUUCCAGCCAAUAUGACGGAAUUUUUCCUACCUGUCGGAAUCUGCAUCCAGGCAGGUUGAUCAGUCAGAAUCGUCAUGGUGUUCUUGACAAUUUUUUGGGUCUUUUAUUUUCCGAUUUUUUGGCUUGGUUGAUCUUCCUCAAAGUUGUUGGGCUAAUUUUUGGUGUUUCUGGACUGAUGAUUGGGCUAAGAUCUGCUUCUUGAUUUGGGUUUAUUGUCAAAACCCAACUCUUUUGGUUGGGUUUGUUGUGUUAAACAAAUGAGGGCCGGUCCACCUGUUGCCUCCGGGUUUUUGUCGGGCUUACAGAAUUUUGGCCUAAAAAAAAAAAAGCAAAAAUGGCCCAUUGGCCUCUGGCCUAUUAGAAACCAGAAAAUGAAAUUGCAAAUCAGUCUCUAUAUUUUACAUAUUUAUUCUAAAGCCCUAAAAAAUUUAGAUUUCUUUCAAUUAGAUCCUAAUUUAAUUGUAUUUGGCUCUUAAACUAUAUUUUUAUUUUAUUUUAACCCUUAAUUUUUGUAAUAAUUAUAAUUUGACCUCUAAAACUUUCUUAAUUUUGCAAUUAGGUCCCUAACAGUUUUGAUUUCUAAAAUAUAAGUUACUUUUCUUCUUUAAUUGUUAAUUAUGCUUCAUUUAAGUGCUUUAAUUGGUAGAUUUCAUGAUUAUUUUCAUUUCUUUAUAAUUAAUUGUGUGUCUUAAUCAUUUGUUCAUUUUGGAGUAUAAGUAGAGCAAAUUUCACCCCAUUUAAUCACACACUUCAAGGGAGGUAACCUUUUUUAUUAUUUUAAACUCUUUUACGUUCUCCAAUGUGUUUUUAUGUGUAAUUGCAUGUUUUGAAUGAUUUUUUUUAAUUAGUGAUUCUUAUUCAUUUUAAAGUUUCAUUUGUCUUAUUUAAUUUUGAUGAUUAUUUGAGAGGCAUUAAGAUAUCAAGUUGUAAUAGAUAGGCGCUCAAGACAUGUAUUUAGCUAGUUUAUAUAAUAGAUAGGUUUUAGUUUUGUUAAAAAUGUAUUUAGUUAGAUAAAUGUAAUAGUUAGGUUAUUAUUUUUUAGAAUUCCCACCUUACAUUAUAGUUAGAGCCCGAAUGUAAUAGUUAGGCUCUUAUGGGUGUUUAUUUGCUUGUGUGCUUGCAUGCUUAUGUACUUACGUGUUGUACUCGCUUUUUCGGGAGAUUUGCAUCUAAAUAUUAUGUUUACGUGCUAUGUGCUCUAUGUGCUUACGUGUUUACUUGCUUUAAUUAUGUUUAUAUGAUUCCUUAUAUUAUAAUAGAUGCAUGACAUCACCACACUAGUCCAACGCUAGUUGUGGUCUAUUUCCUUGUAAAGGAUCGAAAACAAUCUAAGAGAGGGGUAAAUUAGGUGGUUUAAAAACUAGCCAAGAUAUGUGUCACUUUUUGAGAAUUUUUCCUCUUUUUCUAAAAGACCACACAAUUGAGUAAUUGAUGAGGAAGUACAAGUGCUUAAGAGUAGAAGAGAUAGACAAUUUAUAUUUCAAGACAAUAAAUAAAAGGAUAGAAUAGCAAACCAAGUUUCAAACUCCACUUGAGUUUGAAUACCACUUUAUAUAGCAAGUUUCUUCAAGUUGAUCAACUUACAACCAAUCUCUUGUGUACAAAGGAAGGAUCACUUCCUCCUCGCCCCAAGCCGCACUUGGUCAAGCAAAGAAGUUUUACAAUCAUUCGGAUAACCCUCACAAAACUACACUAUUGAAGAAAUAGAAACACACUUGAAAAGCUUAUUGAAAGUUCCACAACUAAGAGUACAAAUCUUCAUUCUAGAUUAUUCUCACACUUGAAUCACUCAAGAUUUAAUGUAGUCUCAAUGUGUGAAAAUCAUUUGAAGUGGUUGACUUUUUCCUAUUUAUAAGAGACCAAAAAAUUCUUCAAUUAAUGCUACCAACGGAUAGAAGGUAGUUGAAGAGUCAACUAGCCGUUGGUAGUGUCGGACGUCCGGUAGACUAGUUUUCUACAUUCGAACGCAGGCAGUGAGCUCCAGAAGUUUUCUUGAAAUGUUUAGGAUGUCCGCUACCUCCAGAAUAUACGUCCGAAGGUAUGAUGUAAAAUUGGAAAUUCUCCUUCAAUUUGUUCGGACGUCGAUGCCUCCAAUGUUUUGCGUCCGAAGUGUCGCAACGUUUAUCGGACGUCCGGUACUCAGGUGUUAUGCGUCCGAUCGAGGUCAAUUGGCUUAGAGAACUUGGCUUAUCAUCUUCGGACGUCUGAGAGUGGGUUCUUCAUGCGUCCGAAGUUACUCAAUGGUUGUCGGACGGCCGAUGCAGUCUGUAUGUGCGUCCGACAGCUAUACCUGUUCUGCUCCAAUUCUGAACAGAUCUAAUUAGAGAAUAUUAGUAACAUCCAUUUUUUGUACUUAUCAAAAGUUACGGAUUGAGAUAAACAAACUCCUCCUUUUUGAUGAUGACAAAACAAUGGAUGGAAUAAAAAGAUUUUAGGUACAGCUCCCCCUAACUUAAUGCAUUCAAGGAGGAUUCACAACAUCCCUUUAGAAUAAUGUUCACUCGUGAUUAUUCACAACUCCCUCUUACAAUGACUCCCCCUCACAUAUAGAUUACAUAUCCAUUUCUGGAUUUCUCGCUAGUCCAACGCUAAUGAGAACUUAUAGACAUGGAAUAGUCCAAUGUUAGAUCCUUAGAAACUGUCCACGGGUUAUAUUAUGUUUGCGGUGACAAUCACUACAUUUCAUGCAUAUUUUCUACUUUUUAGAAUCUUUACCAUUUUGCAUGACAUUACCUCUAUACUUACAUUCGUUAUUCCUAUGUGCGAAACAUGACAUUUAGACUUGCAUUUCAUUUAAAAAAAACUAAAAAUAGAUUAGUCAAUUUGCUUGAUUAGGUUAGGGAGUACCCUUCAAAUAUGGAAAAUGGAUGAAUAUGGUUUCUUAGCCUUAGCACGCUCGCAUCUCCUCUAUAAAAAAGAAAAUUGAAUCACGAAUCUUAGUCUCCCGUACCCGUUAUGUUGCAUUCCUAUUUUUAGGUCGCGUAUAUUUAUAUAUUAUAAUUUUUUCUUUUUUUCGAGUCUUACUCUUUGCAUAUUCGUGACCUUUUCUAAGAAUUAUUUUGUGCAUCACAAUUAAUGUGAUUUGCACCGAUUAAAUUUUGAAGAGAUAUCUCAACCCUCCCGAUAUCCAUUAGCUCUAGGUUUGCAUCCAUAUAGUAACAUCCAAAUGUGACAAGUUUUAUAAGUUAAAUUAAAAAAAUUUUCAACUAAAUCACGCAACUAGCCUUGGUUAGAUUAAAAGGGUGUCUUGGAUUUUAUCCUUGCCUUCCCUUUCUUCAAUCGUAACUCCCGAGCCCUUUUCUCUUGUUUUUCAAAGACUUGGAGUCGUCUAAAAAGAGUUUUCUCUAUUUUUUUAUUUAAAAAUUCGUUUUUAGGUGACUUGGUACACCUUAAUUCAAUACCAAGUGGUGACUCAUAUUUUUCUCAAAAAUCCUUUUUAGACUAUUAUUUUGGGUCAAAAUCGUCGCACUUUUUAAGUCCCAUUUUAGGCCCUUUUUCUUUAUUUAUUCUCUAAAAAUCAAAAACUCAUUUUCACUCAAAAUUAAUCAAAAUUCAUUUUAUAACUCAUAAUUUGGUCUUCUGUAUCUUGGAGAAGGUUUGUGCCAAUUUUUUCUGGGGAUCUAACUUAGAAGGUAAUAAGUUUCAUUGGGUUAAGUGGUCUACUUUAUGUUAUCCUAUUGAAAAAGAAGGAGCUGGGUCUUUUAUAAUGAUAUGAUUUAACUUGGAGCAAAAAAUGUUGACGUUUGAUGCCAAUGUUCACACUUGAAGAAAGACACAAAGAGCAAAGAUUUCUCUAUAAAUAGAAGUUUAUGUCUUCCAUUUUAAAGAACUUGGAGAGCGAACUGAUAAGUGCAUAGUUUACGUGCUUUUAGUGUGUUUUAUUAGUUUGUUUUGGUGUGUUUUAAUUAGUUUUAUAGCUAAUAAACUAAGAUUCUAGUGAAAAUAUGCAUUUUAUGGUUUAAAGUGUGAAAAUUGUAUUUCUAUGAACUUUUACGGCAAAAACUUUAUGUUUUUGUAGGUUUAAGAAUUCAAUCAUCAAAGGGAGUAAAUUGAGAAGGGAAUUGGAUGAUUGAUGAUGUUUUGAAGUGAUAAAAAGAGAAUAUGAAGUGCAAGAGAUGAAAUGCAAUCAAGUUCUAAAGAAAAGGAGUUUCACAGCUUUGACACCUUGUGGUAUUUUGGCAAUACCUUGAGCGACAAUGAUCGGAUUGAGGUGAUUCUUAUACCAUUUUGAAGCCAAGAGAUAGAUCUACAUUUGGUAUGAAGACAUUGAAGUCCAGUUCGGUGGUUUUCAUAGUCAAAAAGUCGAAAUACUCAAAAGUACAUUUUCUAUGGUCGAAGCUGAAACAAGUUUUUGACCAGUCAAGGGUAAUUUGGUCAUUUCUCAGUCCACGGAGCUCUAAAUUAGGUGAUUCUUGAUGCAUUGGAAAGCUAACACAAAUAGCUACAACUUGAAUGUUUUACACAAGAGCUAGUUCAGCCUCUAACAUCGAGAAAAUAUCAGUUGAAAUGGAUCAAAAACAGAGCAAGAGAUCUGAACCCGAAUCUAGUAUGAUCCGAGCCCUCGUCUGAUCUUUUGGACGAGUGGAUCCGAGACCAGAGGAUCCGAGCUCGGAUCCACUGUUGUAGGCCUCGGAUCCCAAUGAACAGUGAAGGAAAAAAUGAAGAAAAAUGCGAUCCGAGGGGUAUUUUGAUAGAUCCGAGCUCGGAUCUUGCCCUUGGAUCCCCAAUUUCGGCUCUGCAACUUGUGCUCUAUUCACACAAGCUUUUUGACCAAUGUAUCUGCAAGAAAUCCGGCUGGAACUGAGCAAGCAAGUAUAGAGAAUUCAAAAAGCAUCUUUUGAUGAGUCCAAGAAGCAAUUACAUCAACUUUAACAACUCACCAUGAGCUUGAAUUCCUCUAUAAAUAGCAGCCUUGGAGGAACAUUUUCACAACUUUGGAAGGCUAGAGAAAAUCACCAAAAAUGUAGUCUUCACUAGUUUUUCUUAGUUCAUUAGUAUAGUAUAGGUAGUGUAGUUUAUCCAUCUUGUGUUUGUAGCUAGAUUUGGAUGAAGAUUGAGGAGCAAAGAUGGAGAGGUUGAUCUCAUGUGACAAGGGUGAUAUCUCUUCUACUACUUUCUCUCUUGUAUUAGAUUUCAUGUUUAGCUAUAAUACAAGUUUGGAUUUGUAUUUUUAACAUGUUUAGUUAAAGUUUAUGCCUAGAGUUAUGGUUGAACUUACUAUAUCUUGUUUUUGAUGUUUACUUGAUUAUUUGAUGGUAUUAUUUUGAGCAAGUUAUUUAUCAUUUUUGUUUUUCUAAUCAUGAUUAACCGGCCAUUAAUUGUGAUUAUCUAAAGGUGUUAAGAUUGCAAUGAGAAUUGGAAUUUAAAACUAGUUCAAGGAAGUGAUAAACCUAGGGAAUACACUCACGAGAGUAGAGGUGCACCUAUGUGGCUUUAGUGACGUGUUCAUGUAAUUUCAUAGAAGAAAUGAACUUGUAGCUAAUUUCAUAACCACGAGAGUAGGUAUGGUUUAGCUACAAGUAUAGUUGAUUCACUACGAGAGUAGGUUUCACAUACAUUAGGAAAUUACGCCAUAACUAGCCAAGAUAAUAGCAUUCACUUAACCAGUAAUCUCAUUUGCAAGAGUAGUAAGGAAUUCCAUAUCUCUAGGAGCUUUUUAGUGCUAAUUUUGAUUUCUAUUAUGUUUAUGGUAGUCUAGAUAAUAAAGGAGUUCGAAAAAUACCGGUAAUUACAAUCUUCUCUGUGGGAUCGACCCUUAAUACCCUAUACUCGCUCACGAUUCGUAUACUUGCGAUAAAUCGCGUGUGGGGUAUUUAGGAAUCAUAAAUGUAAAACUUGAUUGUGGAUGAGCUAAUUAAUAUAUGUAUACCCCGCUCACAUCAAGUUUUUGGCGCCGUUGCCGGGGAAGAUUUGUCAAUAUCGGUGCUAAGAAUAACUUUAUUAAUUUAGACAUUUUUACUUAUUUUUCUUGUGUUUGUAGUGUCUAGUGUCUUAAUUUUUAUUUUUUAGUGUCUUUGUUGAGUCUUUGUAUAUGUUUUUAUGUGUUUAGAGUCAUCUAUUCUUCUUGACUAAAUUUGUUUUUAAGUUAUUUUGAAAACAUGUUUAGGGGUUCAAGGAGAGUAGAAAAUAUGAGGAAUCAAUGCAUGAGAGAAGGAAGAUCGACAAUGGAUGGUUACUAUAUGCAAAGCUCCUUGAAUCGAGGUAACCAAGAAAUUGCCGAAAGUAUUUCGUUUGAAGAUGGUUUAAGGAGUUUAAAGGUUAAACUUGAUGUUAUAAUGUUACAAGUUCAAAUGGAUACCAUGAUGCAUAAAAUUGAGCAAAGGAGGAAUGUUAAUGCUUUUAAUUAUUAUCAUGUGAUUUGUGACUUGUGUGGAGGUUAUCAUGCUACUAGUACAUGCAUGCAAGCACAAAAUGUGGAUUAUUAUGAUGAAUUAGAGCAUUGCAAUCCUUGUUUUAAUCAAUACAGUGCUAAUUGGAGCAAUUCUCAUGUGUAUGGUUGGGAUAAUCAAUGUGCAUAUAGUGAUUCUCCAAAUUUUUAUGAUUACCAACUUCAAAGUGUCCAAUAUGAAUCAAAACCAUUUUGGGAGUUGGCAAUAGAGAAGUUAGCUAAUGCACCUCUACCUUGGGAAUUAGAAAGUGAACCAUUAGCUAAUUGUUCUUAUGCCUCUUGGGAGCUAACUGUAGAAAAUUCUUAUAAUCAAUUUGAUUUAGCCAUAGAAAAGCUAGCACAUGCAACCUCUGACCGUUUUGAUAGGAUUGAGGAAAGGUUAGAUGAAUUAGCUUCUCACUUUGGUAGAGUACAAGACCAAGUGCAUGAGUUGUGUGAAGUUAUUUCUUCUAAUGAUGUGCAAAUUGACCCUAGCAUGAAUGGUGAGCAUGUUGCAAGUGAAAAUGGAUUGCAUUUUGAUGAAAAUGAUGAAUCUCAAUUGUGUUUUAAUGAGAAAAUAUCCAUUUCACAUGAUAGUACCUUUGGAGCUAACAUUGAACCUCAAGAGGUGAGCUUUAGCGACUCAUUUUUCACCCCUCUUAAGGAAUGUGUUGAAAGAAUAGGUUUUAAAGGUAUUAUUCCCCAAGAAAGCCACGCGGACGUUCCUUUGGUGAGUACUCAAGUGACGUGCAUUCAAGGUAAUAUCUACGAUUCACUUGAGAUUGGUAAGCCACUUCCAUCUCUCUUAUCAUUAGAACAUGUGGCUUUCGCUAUAAAGCCACCUUAUAAUGAUCCACCCCAACCUCUAAUGGUGGAUUAUUCAUUAACUAAACCUCCUUGAGAAAUGAGGUGAUAUAGUCAAGCUAAUGACCAUAAAAAAGCGCUUGUUGGGAGACAACCUAACAAUUUCUAGUUUUUUUUAGUAAGUUUUAGUAAUUUGAUUAGUAUUUUUGUGUGUUUUAUAGGUAGCAAUGACGAGAAAUCAUGCGAAAUCAUUUCAAGUGCAAAGGAGUUUAUAAGGAGUGGAGACCGAUGUGAAAAAGGGAAGCUUAACCUUCAUUUUUGAGUUUACAAUGCUUAAUUUCAUGUUAUGUGGUUAAAUUAGUCAUUUGCAUGAAGUUGAAGUGAAUUCAAGUGUUUAAAUGUGUUCAUGACCUAUUUGCACUCUUUUGACCAUUUGAGCACUACCAUGUGCAUUGGAAGUGUCAAGGGGAACUAUUUGAUCCAAGAACCUCAACCCUCAAUUUACAUUCUACAUGUUUUUGAUUUGUUUUGAGAUGUUGAGAUUCAUGUUUAAGUCACUUUUCAUGUGCGUGAAGUGUUGAAUUGUUAAAAAUUUCAUUGUAGAACACGAAUUGGAGAGUGUGUUUCAAAUUGGGGCCAAACUGAAAAUUGCAGAAACUUCUGCAAUAAGUGCAGAUUCAAUGGAUCCGAGCUCGGAUCCACUUCUGCAAUCAGAAAAAAUUCGAGCUUCUUGAUCCGAGUUCACUUAUCAUGAUCCGACCUCGGAUCCUUUCAAAAACGACCUCGGAUCCUUUCCAAAACAAAGGCUUGGACCACUUUUUUUCAUUCUUCCCUCUUUUUCCUCCUUCAACUCCACUUUUCUUCUUGUUGGUUGCAAGCUUUUAUUCUUAAGAAGUUUUAUUUCUGUCUUUUUCAAGGUGCAUUAAUUGAACUCUCCAUUCUUUCAAGUAAAGUUGAAAAUUCAUCACAUUGCCAUGGAUUCGAAUUGCGCAAGUUCAUUAGGGGAGUAUUACUUUCUCUUACUUUCGUUAUUUUUCCUUUCUCACAUUGAGGACAAUGUGAAGUUUAAGUGUGGGGGAGGAAAAUAUUUGAACUUGCACUUUAAUGCUAUGUGAUGAUAUUUUGUGACUUUAAAUGAUUAGAAAUGAUUGGAAUUGUGCAUAGAAAUCUUGCCAUAUGGAUAAUUUGCUUGAAAUUGGGUAUGUUGUCAAAAUUUUUCUAAAAAUCUUUUCCAAUAUUUCACUAUGGCUCAAAAAAAAUUUUCAAAUUUUUGCAAGUUUAUUUAAAAAUGGCCAAUUUGUUCCAACUUUAAGUGCCUAAUUCUUUCACUUGUUGAAACUUUAUAUGUAUAUUGGAAGAUUUAGUUCUCAUUUGACUUGGAAAUGGUUAUUAUGCAAUUAGGAUUUUUGCAUUUUAGAAAGUAUAUCCGAUAAAGUGAGGAAAAUUAUGCCUAUAAUUUUACAUGUUUAAUGAGAUUUCUUCUCUUUACUUAAUUGUCCAAGUAAGUGAUUGAUAUAGUCAAUAAAUGUUAUACUCCUCCUUUGAUUAUUCUUAUAUAUUUUCUAUAAGGGAAAUUUAUUUAUUGUCUUACAAAAAAAAGAAAAAAAAAAGAGAAAAAAGAGAAAAGAAAAAUAAAAGAGAAUAAGAGUUUUUUUUUCCUACUCCAAUGAUUCUUGUACCAAGUAACCGGGAGUUGGCAUCUACAAAUGUCGACUUUCGCGUAAAAAAGUACUUGAAUUACGAGUAUGCAUAACAAUUUAAAUAAGUGAAAUGUUGAAUAACCGGAGAUCUUCACCUAAAAGUGUCGAUUUUCGCAUAAAAAGACUUCCUCACUAUUUAAGUAAAAGUAGUGCAAAUAAAUCUCUCUUAGUUGUAAAAUUUUGAGAAAAAGAUGAUUAUAGGAAGAGGAAUGCUAUAAAUUGACUACGUGACUUGCUUAUUUGUAAAAUUAGGUUGGGGUAAGAGAUUAAGUUUAACUUGUUGAAUUUAUGGCAUAAUUCUCUUCCCUUUAUUUGAUAUUAUGAGUAUUUAGUGUAAAUUGAACAAGUGCAUAAUGAUUGUUUACCAAGUUAUGAGGAAUUUAAUUCGAAAAAAUGCAUAUAGGGUUUCACCUCUUGAAUCAUUGUUAUUGGAGAUAUGUUGAUUACUUGAGGACAAGCAAUGGUUCAAGUGUGGGGGAGUUUGAUAAGUGCAUAGUUUACGUGCUUUUAGUGUGUUUUAUUAGUUUGUUUUGGUGUGUUUUAAUUAGUUUUAUAGCUAAUAAACUAAGAUUCUAGUGAAAAUAUGCAUUUUAUGGUUUAAAGUGUGAAAAUUGUAUUUCUAUGAACUUUUACGGCAAAAACUUUAUGUUUUUGUAGGUUUAAGAAUUCAAUCAUCAAAGGGAGUAAAUUGAGAAGGGAAUUGGAUGAUUGAUGAUGUUUUGAAGUGAUAAAAAGAGAAUAUGAAGUGCAAGAGAUGAAAUGCAAUCAAGUUCUAAAGAAAAGGAGUUUCACAGCUUUGACACCUUGUGGUAUUUUGGCAAUACCUUGAGCGAAAAUGAUCGGAUUGAGGUGAUUCUUAUACCAUUUUGAAGCCAAGAGAUAGAUCUACAUUUGGUAUGAGACAUUGAAGUCCAGUUCGGUGGUUUUAAUAGUCAAAAAGUCGAAAUACUGAAGUACAUUUUCUAUGGUCGAAUCUGAAACAAGUUUUUGACCAGUCAAGGGUAAUUUGGUCAUUUCUCAGUCCACGGAGCUCUAAAUUAGGUGAUUCUUGAUGCAUUGGAAAGCUAACACAAAUAGCUACAACUUGCAUGUUUUACACAAGAGCUAGUUCAGCCUCUAACAUCGAGAAAAUAUCAGUUGAAAUGGAUCAAAAAUAGAGCAAGAGAUCCGAACCCGGAUCCAAUAUGAUCCGAGCCCUCGUCUGAUCUUCUGGACGAGUGGAUCCGAGCUCAGAUCCACUGUUGUAGGCCUCGGAUCCCAAUGAACAGUGAAGGAAAAAAUGAAGAAAAAUACGAUCCGAUGGGUAUUUUGAUAGAUCCGAGCUCGGAUCUUGCCCUCGGAUCCCCAAUUUCGGCUCUGCAACUUGCUCUGCAACUUGUGCUCUAUUCACACAAGCUUUUUGACCAAUGUAUCUGCAAGAAAUCCGGCUGGAACUGAGCAAGCAAGUAUAGAGAAUUCAAAAAGCAUCUUUUGGUGAGUCCAAGAAGCAAUUACAUCAACUUUAACAACUCACCAUGAGCUUGAAUUCCUCUAUAAAUAGCAGCCUUGGAGGAACAUUUUCACAACUUUGGAAGGCUAGAGAAACUCACCAAAAAUGUAGUCUUCACUAGUUUUUCUUAGUUCAUUAGUAUAGUAUAGGUAGUGUAGUUUAUCCAUCUUGUGUUUGUAGCUAGAUUUGGAUGAAGAUUGAGGAGCAAAGAUGGAGAGGUUGAUCUCAUGUGACAAGGGUGAUAUCUCUUCUACUACUUUCUCUCUUGUAUUAGAUUUCAUGUUUAGCUAUAAUACAAGUUUAGAUUUGUAUUUUUAACAUGUUUAGUUAAAGUUUAUGCCUAGAGUUAUGGUUGAACUUACUAUAUCUUGUUUUUGAUGUUUACUUGAUUAUUUGAUGGUAUUAUUUUGAGCAAGUUAUUUAUCAUUUUUGCUUUUCUAAUCAUGAUUAACCGGCCAUUAAUUGUGAUUAUCUAAAGGUGUUAAGAUUGCAAUGAGAAUUGGAAUUUAACACUAGUUCAAGGAAGUGAUAAACCUAGGGAGUACACUCACGAGAGUAGAGGUGCACCUAUGUGGCUUUAGUGACGUGUUCAUGUAAUUUCAUAGAAGAAAUGAACUUGUAGCUAAUUUCAUAACCACGAGAGUAGGUAUGGUUUAGCUACAAGUAUAGUUGAUUCACUACGAGAGUAGGUUUAACAUACAUUAGGAAAUUACGCCAUAACUAGCCAAGAUAAUAGCAUUCACUUAACCAGUAAUCUCAUUUGCAAGAGUAGUAAGAAAUUCCAUAUCUCUAGGAGCUUUUUAGUGCUAAUUUUGAUUUCUAUUAUGUUUAUGGUAGUGUAGAUAAUAAAGGAGUUCGAAAAACACCGGUAAUUGCAAUCUUCUCUGUGGGAUCGACCCUUAAUAUCCUAUACUUGCUCACGAUUCGUAUACUUGCGAUAAAUCGCGUGUGGGGUAUUUAGGAAUCAUAAAUGUAAAACUUGAUUGUGGAUGAGCUAAUUGAUAUAUGUAUACCCCGCUCACAUCACGAACGGAAUACCACAAAAAUGUAGUUUCUUAGCUCUUUAGUUUAGAUAGUGUAGGAUAGUUUAGUUUUAGCUAAUUCAUCAUUUCUUAUGUAUUAGAUAGAUAGAGAUGCAAUUGGAGGAUGAAAAAGGUAAGGAGGGAACUCAUGUUAUAUGGGUUACUCUACCUUCCCAACUCUUUAUCUUUUGAAAUUGAUUCUAAGUUUAGUUAAUGUAUAAGUUUGGAUUUUAUGUUUAUUAUGUUUUUUUAAAGUUAUGCCUUGGGUUUUGGUUAAAUUUUCUAUGAUUAUAUUGUGUUGAUUUUUUGGCUAUUUGAUGCUAUUUUUUUGAGCCAGUUAUUUAGCACUUUUGCUCCUCUUAUCAUGAUUAACUCGGUACUAUUAAUUGUGAUUAUCUAAAAGUGCUGUUUUUUCAAUAAAAAUUGGGAUUUAACACUAUUUUAAGAAAUGCUGAACCUUGAGUCAAGUAUGUUUCUUAAAUAAAAGUGCUUGGUUUUAAAAUAAGUUGUUUAUUUAGUUAUUGUUUAGUCAAUAAGAAAGGCCAAUGUGUGUUAAGCCUUUGAGUUUAAUGGGCCAAUUAUUGAGUCAAGUUUGUUUGGACAUUAGGGUCCGGUCCAUAGGGUUUAAUCUAGAAGUUAACUCUUUUAAAUAAUGUUGUAUGGAACACGGUUAUUCAAUUGAGUGAUUUUAUGAUAUUGAGCAUAUGAGGUUUUCUACAAGUAAGUGGAGACUCUUGUCUUUCUAAUCUUGAUUCACUUUAAGCAUGAUCUUGAGUGAAUUGACUCUCAUAUCAAUUUGAUAUUCACCCAAAUUGAGGUUAGCCUACCCAAAUUCCAUCUAAAUUUCGUCCAAACCUAUCUCUUUAUGAACCUGUGGGAUUGCGAAUUUCUCUUAUCCUUGGGGAAUUCGUAUAAGUUGGUAUCAGAGUUUUGACUCAAGAUGAUAGGUUAUAUCCUUAUUAAUUUCUUGUUUUCCUUUUCUUCUACUACUAAACCCUAAUCGUUUUAAAAAGAAUUGUGAAUUAGAGUUUAUCUACUUUUAGGGUUUUAAAUCUUCCAUUCGUGUUUUUCUUGUGUGUUUCCUCAUUGUUUCUUGUGUUCUUCAUUGUUGUGAUUGUGUUAAUUUUAUAUCUACCUUCCCUCGUUGAUUAAGAUAAAAGUACUGUAGUGAUUACUAUUCUUGUAUUACUGUUCAUCGUACUGUUCAUCCAGAGUUAAUACUCAUUUGAAAAAAAAUGUUUGUUUGUUGCUUUAUUUCUGUGAAUCCUAAUCCUAGUCAAAUCUUGCAAUUUUGUGACUGCUUUUUUUUUCUUUCCUAAUCCUAAUCAUAUAAAUAUUUCUCUUUUUAAUUGUUUCCAAAUCAAAUUAGGAAACAUAACCUUAUUUUUCCAGCAAUCUUUAGAUGUCUAAUUCCUAAUCUAAUUAGGAAAUUGAAGUCUGAAAUUUCAAGCUUUAAAUCACCUCCUUUUUUAGAAAAUUCCCAUCAUUAGUUCUUGAAAUUUCCUUGUUGUAUUGCUUUUCAAAUUUUCAGCCUUAUUCUUUGAUUUUCUAGGCCAUAAAUGAGGUGUUUCUUGGUUGGUAUAUUCCUCAAAUCCUUGGAGAACCAAAUUUUAAGUGAAUUCAAGACACCAAGGCAUUAAAUGAGUGUGAGACCAUAAAAGUGAGUGCAAACAUGAGUGGCUGAGGGUAUACACAUGAGGUUGAGUGUGUGAAAUAUUAUUUUUGACCUAUCUUGCAGGAAAUCAUGUCUAGCAAGGAAGAUUUAGAUUCUCAUCCUGUUGACUUAAAGUUCAUCAUGAAGGUUGUGAAAUGAGAGAUGAGGUGAUUGAUGUGGACUGAAAUGGAAUCCAUCCAUGAAUGCCUAGAUCGGGUUGAGAUUUCUCAGGAGCAUCUAUCCAAAUGUGAGAGACACACUUCCAAGCAUGAAAAAGCAAGACGUUGGAAUUUAGAGGAGGAAUACUCCACUACUGAAGAAGUAGAUGAAUCUGAAGUUGAGUUUAGGAGACUGCCUAGAAGGUACCAUCGAGUUGAUGAUGCUACGUGAUGGGAGUGAAGUCUAAUAUCCCUUCUUUACAAGGAAAUUUGACCUCAAAACUUUACCUAGAAUGGGAGUGUGGGAUGGAGCUUGUUUUCAACUGUUAUAACUACACUGAAGUGCAAAAAGCUAAGUUGGCCAUGGUGGAGUUUUCAAACUAUGCAAUCACUUGGUGGGACCAACUAUAUCAGUAGAAGAAGGAUGGCUAAGGGAUUUGUUAGCACUUGGCAGAAGUUCAAAGCAUUAAUGAGAAAGUGAUUCAUCCCUAUUUAUUACCACAGAGGCCUCCAUUAGAAGCUGCAAAAUUUGGUGUAGGGUGAUCUAACUGUCAAAGAUUACCAAAAAGAGAUGGAGAAGGCGAUGAUGAGGGCAAAUGUGAUAGAGGAUUUGGAGGCUACAAUGACUAGAUUCUUGAAGGGGUUGAAUCUAGACAUUGCAGAUGUAGUUGAAUUGCAGUAUUACAUGGAGUUGGAGAAGAUGGUGCAAAAAGCUAUCAAAAUUGAGAGACAGUGGAAGAGAAGGGAUGGCUACAAGCCCAACUCAUUUUUUGCACCUUUCACUGCAAAAGGUGUGCCAAGGGAAGAUAGAGUAUCUUCAAAAUCUAAGGUGAAAUUGCCUAAAGUCUCAAGCAACACUCCAGUUUCUAUUAUUCGAAACUAGGAUAUCCAAUAUUAUAAGUACCAGGGACGUGGUCACAAAACUCUCCGGUGCCCAAACAAAUGAGCUAUGGCGAUUAAUGCAAAUGGACAAAUUGAGUUUGCAAAUGAGAAGGAGAUUGAAGAGAAACCUCCUUUGAUUGAGAAUCAGUCUGAUGGGGAAGAACAUACACCUGGAGUGCUUACCUUGGUGACUAAUCGAGCUUUAAAUGCGGAAGUCAAAGUGGAAGUGGACCAGAGACAACGCAUCAAUAUCUUCUACACUAGGUGUUGUGUUAGGGAUAAGGUGUGCAGUUUAAUUGUUGAUGGUGGGAGUUGUAUGAACUUUGUCAGUACAAUCUUGGUGGGUAAGCUUGCACUACCAACAAUUGAUCAUUGGAGCCCAUACACCAUACAUUGGUUUACCACCUAUGUAGGCAGAAAAAUUACAAAACAAGUUCCAGUGGCUUUCUGCAUUAGGAAGUAUGAGAAUGAGUUAUUGUAUGAUGUAGUUUCUAUGCACGCAAGCCAUAUUCUACUUGGAAGACCUUGGCAGUUUGAUAAGAGAGUUUAUUAUAGCAGACUUUCGAAUAGCUAUUCUUCCAAACAUAAGGGUAGGAAGAUUGCACUUACCCCACUUACUCCGCAACAAGUGCAUGACGACCAGUUGUAUUUAAAGUGGCAAUAUGAAGAGGAGUUGUUAAGGAUAAAAUAGGAGAGUGAAGCCAAGCUAAAGGAGAAAGAAAUGAGUGGGCAAAAAAAAUUUAAUCGUUUGUUGAUUGGGCUGCCAUUGGAGGGUUCAAUAUGUCUUACUAACCUAUUAACUUAUCCUUUGUUUCAUUUUUUAUGGGUACUUUAUAGGGAUUUUGAGCAAGGUGGUCACAACUAUUUUGAGCGAGUAAAGGUCAAAGAUUUGAGGAAAAAUCUUCUUGAAGAGAUGGGGAAUGAUAUGGAUGCGAAGUGAGUAAAAUUAGUUGCAAAGUUUGUCCAAGGAGGGGGGCAGAAGACUUUGCACUAUAAGCCACAGGCGUGUCCCGUGCCUGAACACAAAGAAAUUGUGUCAAGAAGACUUGUGUGUAAGAUAAGACGUGGGGCACACCAGAGUAGCCAUUUGCUAGUCCGCCGAUUCCGUGGAUUUGUUUGUGAUUUUUAGGGCUUUUCCUAUUUUAUCCGUUUUAGUAAUUAUUCUUUGAUUUUAAAAUACAUUGUUUAUUUAGUUUUUUUUAGUCAAUAAGAAAGGCCAAUGUGUGUUAAAUCUUUGAGAUUAAUGGGCUAAUUAUUGAGUCAAAUUUGUUUAGUUAUGAGGGUCCGGUCCAUAAGGUUUAGUCUAGAUUUUCUUUUAAAUAACAUUGUAUGGAACAUAGUUAUUUAGUUGAAUGAUUGUAUGGCAUUGAACCUUUGAGGUUUUCUACAAGUUAGAGUGGAUACUCUUGUCUUUCACUUUGAGUGUGUUCUUGAGUGUGAUCUUGAGUGAAUUGAGUGCUAUAUCAAUUUGGUAUUCACACAACUUGUGGCCGACCUACCCAAAUUCCAUCCAAAUUUUGUCCAAACAUGUCUUCUUAUGAACUGGAGUUUUCGUAUGGGAUUGCGGAUUUCUCUCAUCCUAGGAAAAUUCGUAUCACUAAUGGACUCCCAAUCUAUCCAAAUACAGAUAGGGCACUAACAAAUUUUAAAGAGGUUUGGUUUAUUUUUAUCAAUCGUUUAUUAGUUAUAGUAGAUUACUGAUUUAGUGGGUGUCUAAUUUCUAGCAGGUGAUUUAUGAAUAACUAAUCAAAUGUCUAUUAGGGAAAACAUUAGUUCUUUGGCAUUUUAUGCUGUGUAGAUGUUAGUUUGACACAGUUGUUAGAACUCAACCAUUUUACUUUGGAAGGAAAUCAAAGAGUUGAAGAUUUUGAAAUAUGGGCAAAGAAAAGGAUAGAAAAGAAAAAGGGAAUUUUGUAUUGUAGACAUGACUUAACUUUUGGCAUUCUGACAGUCAUCAUUCAAUCAAAAAAUGAAGCUAAAAUAGAUAACCGAUCACAUAACAUGCAAUUUAGACAUCAUAUUUGAUUGAUAGGUUCCCUGCAAAUAGCGCUAAUUCAAAUAUUCAUACUCAAAAAUUAAUUGGAUCCCUAAGCAAAUCUAUAAU
rnacentral:lncRNA from 1 species